rnacentral:lncRNA from 1 species
UUUUUUUUUGAGGUCGACUGGUCGACUUUAUCUUCAACAGGAUUAGUGGGGGCACGCUGAGUGCACCCACUGGGUGUAGUCCCCGAGACUACGGUCGAAUGCUUGUAUUCGGCUAUAGUCUUAGAAACGUGGGAUUUUUCCUUUUUCACUCGGAAGUGAAUUAUAUUUGACAUUUAGUCGAUUGGUUCUUCGCAGAACUCCUGUGAUCUUGUGGCUCGCUACUCUGAGCUGGAAAACAAGCACACUCAACUCGAGCUGAGCUUGAAGCUGGUUCAGGAGAAGCUGACGAAGGCAAAGGAGGAGACCGAAGGUAUGUUUGGUGAGACCCUGACGACUGCUUUUCCCCUUGCUUGUUUCAAAAUCUGAUCUUGCUGUAACUUGCAGGUAAGGUAAGGGAGGCCCAACAGAAGAAAGACCUCGAACUAGCUAAGAAGAUCAAGCUUGCUGACGAGAAGUUAGCUUCAGUCACCAAGCUUGAACAAGACAAUACCAAUCUGAAAGCUGCUCUUGGGAUCGCCAACAAGGAGGUCAGUCGACUAAAAACUGAUAAAGCUGCCCUGACUGACCAAGUCAGUAAGUUGACUGGGAAGAAAAAUGAUCUGGAGGCCUUCCUGAGUGGUCUUGCCAAGAAGCUGUUUCUUAUGCUUGAAGGUAAACCUCUAUGCUCGGCAAACAUUUCCAAUCGUGGUUUUUCCAUUCGACCAUCCCCUUGACUCAGUGAUCAUCCUUGCAGAAUUUUGCCAAAACUUUGAAGAAGAAACUAGCCGGCUGGAGCCAAACCUCGACCCCGUCAAUUCUCCGGUGAACGACGAAGUUGCCAUGGAUGUUUUCCGACUGGAGUCUCGUGUUGCAGCUGUCGUGGACUAUCUCGCAAGGCUGAAGGCCGCCACAUCUCGCAUCGACUCGACGCUCUGGCCUGAGGAGACACUUCAGAAUGACCUUGAGUCGCUGAUGGCCCGCUUGAACACGAUCCCUGGUCGAGUGCAGGAAUGGAAGAAGUCCUCGGCUCGGUGUGGUGCAGAUGUUGCUCUGUGUCUGGCCCGAGUCCACUGUAAAGAUGCGCGAGAAGAGAAGCUGGCGGCCCUUCGGGUGGCCAACACCAAGAAACACGACUUCAGGUCCUUUAUGGAAACUUUCCUUGCGGCUGCCACUCGGAUCGCCGACGGAAUUGACCUUGAUGAGUUCGUUGCACCUUCCAGCCCUCCACAGGAGGGGUAAAAAACUUCUUCUGGCUCGACGCUUUAAAUUUGCCUCGGUAUGCCGAGUGGAAUUGUAACCGAUAAACCUUAACAGGCUUAACGCCUGAGCACUUUCGGUUCCUUUAGAUAUCGAUUCAAACUUGAAUUUGGUGCUUGAAUACGAUUGCUUUUGGCUCGAAAUGUCUUUUGCAGGUUCAAAGCAAGGCGCCUUUACUGCAAUCGACUUAUUCUUUAGUCCACUUAGGCGAGCACUGGGCUGCGGCUAAGCCUCCGAGUGGAAGCCCGGCUUACCACUCGGUAGGAUUUCUAUAGCUUAGGCGAGCACUGGGCUGCAGCUAAGCCUCCGAGUGAGGGGUUUACUCUUCACUCGGUAGGAUUUUGAUAACUUAGGCUAGCACUGGGCUGCAGCUAAGCCUCCGAGUGAGAGGUUUGCUCUUCACUCGGUAGGAUUUUUAUAACUUAGGCGAGUGCUGGGACUGCAGCUAAGCCUCCGAGUGAGAGGGUUGCUCUUCACUCGGUAGGAUUUUUGUAACUUAGGCGAGUGCUUGGACUGCAGCUAAGCCCCCGAGUGAAAGUCUGGCUUACCACUCGGUAGGAUUUUGAAAACUUAGGCAAAACGGAUUCGCAGCUAAGCCUCCGAGUGGGAGUCUGGCUCACCACUCGGUAGGAUUUUUGUAACUUAGGCGAGUGCUUGGACUGCAGCUAAGCCCCCGAGUGAGAGGCUUGCUCUUCNNNNNNNNNNNNNNNNNNNNNNNNNNNNNNNNNNNNNNNNNNNNNNNNNNNNNNNNNNNNNNNNNNNNNNNNNNNNNNNNNNNNNNNNNNNNNNNNNNNNNNNNNNNNNNNNNNNNNNNNNNNNNNNNNNNNNNNNNNNNNNNNNNNNNNNNNNNNNNNNNNNNNNNNNNNNNNNNNNNNNNNNNNNNNNNNNNNNNNNNNNNNNNNNNNNNNNNNNNNNNNNNNNNNNNNNNNNNNNNNNNNNNNNNNNNNNNNNNNNNNNNNNNNNNNNNNNNNNNNNNNNNNNNNNNNNNNNNNNNNNNNNNNNNNNNNNNNNNNNNNNNNNNNNNNNNNNNNNNNNNNNNNNNNNNNNNNNNNNNNNNNNNNNNNNNNNNNNNNNNNNNNNNNNNNNNNNNNNNNNNNNNNNNNNNNNNNNNNNNNNNNNNNNNNNNNNNNNNNNNNNNNNNNNNNNNNNNNNNNNNNNNNNNNNNNNNNNNNNNNNNNNNNNNNNNNNNNNNNNNNNNNNNNNNNNNNNNNNNNNNNNNNNNNNNNNNNNNNNNNNNNNNNNNNNNNNNNNNNNNNNNNNNNNNNNNNNNNNNNNNNNNNNNNNNNNNNNNNNNNNNNNNNNNNNNNNNNNNNNNNNNNNNNNNNNNNNNNNNNNNNNNNNNNNNNNNNNNNNNNNNNNNNNNNNNNNNNNNNNNNNNNNNNNNNNNNNNNNNNNNNNNNNNNNNNNNNNNNNNNNNNNNNNNNNNNNNNNNNNNNNNNNNNNNNNNNNNNNNNNNNNNNNNNNNNNNNNNNNNNNNNNNNNNNNNNNNNNNNNNNNNNNNNNNNNNNNNNNNNNNNNNNNNNNNNNNNNNNNNNNNNNNNNNNNNNNNNNNNNNNNNNNNNNNNNNNNNNNNNNNNNNNNNNNNNNNNNNNNNNNNNNNNNNNNNNNNNNNNNNNNNNNNNNNNNNNNNNNNNNNNNNNNNUCACUCGGUAGGAUUUUUAUAACUUAGGCGAGUGCUUGGACUGCAGCUAAGCCUCCGAGUGAGAGGUUUGCUCUCCACUCGGUAGGAUUUUGACAAACUUAGGCGAGUCCUUGGACUGCAGCUAAGCCUCCGAGUGAGAGGUUUGCUCUUCACUCGGUAGGAUUUUUACAAACUUAGGCGAGUCCUUGGACUGCAGCUAAGCCUCCGAGUGAGAGGUUUGCUCUUCACUCGGUAGGAUUUUUUACAACUUAGGCGAGCACAGGGCUGCAGCUAAGCCCCCGAGUGGAAGUCUGGCUUACCGCUCGGUAGGAUUUUGAUAACUUAGGCGAAACGGAUUCGCAGCUAAGCCUCCGAGUGGGAGUCUGGCUCACCACUCGGUAGGAUUUUUACAAACUUAGGCGAAACGGAUUCGCGGCUAAGUCACCCACUGAGGGGGAAUUUUAUUGGACAAAAAUAAAGUGACAAAAAUUAUGGAGGAACUAUGACACUAUUAUUUUGAGGUCCAUGAACUACAGAAGUACUUUAUUGCAACUCAUCCGAGUGAUAAAACUUAAGUAUAAAAUGGGCGGAGUAGUUCCGCGUUCCAAGCUCGGGGCUCGUCGAUAUUAUGCUCGACGUUGUAAAGACGGUACGCCCUGUUGUGGAGAACCUUGGUGACGAUGAAGGGACCUUCCCAAGAAGGAGCAAGCUUGUGUGGUUUGUGCUGAUCCACUCGGAGAACUAAAUCCCCUUCCUGGAAGGCUCGACCUCUCACAUUUCUGGCGUGGAAACGACGCAAAUCUUGUUGGUAGAUGGUCGACCGGAUCAGAGCCAUCUCCCUUUCUUCCUCUAAAAGGUCGACUGCGUCCUGCCGCGCUUGUUCAGCCUCUGCUUCGUUGUAGAUUUCAACUCGAGGAGCAUUGUGGAGAAGAUCACUCGGCAAGACUGCUUCAGCUCCGUAGACCAAGAAGAAUGGAGUUCUUCCGGUCGACCGAUUAGGUGUGGUCCGCAACCCCCAAAGCACUGAGGGAAGUUCGUCGACCCAAGCUCCAGCUGCGUGUUUGAGAUCACGCAUUAGUCGGGGCUUCAAUCCCUUAAGAAUCAGUCCAUUAGCUCGCUCUGCUUGUCCAUUCGACUGCGGAUGGGCGACUGAAGCGUAGUCGACCCGUGUGCCUUGGGAGUUACAGAAAUCUCUGAAUUCCUCCGAGUCAAAGUUCGACCCAUUAUCCGUAAUGAGGCUGUGCGGGACUCCAUAUCUGAAUAUUAGUUCCCUGAUGAAGCUAACAGCAGUACCGGUGUCAAGGUUCUUGAUUGGUUUAGCCUCGAUCCACUUGGUGAACUUGUCGACUGCCACCAGUACAUGCGUGAAGCCGCUUCGUCCUGUUCUCAAAGGACCGACCAUGUCCAAUCCCCAUACUGCGAAAGGACAGACGAGUGGGAUGGUCUUCAGAGCCGAUGCAGGCUUGUGCGACAUAUUCGAGUAGAACUGACAUCCCUCGCACUUAUCCACUAUCUCUUUUGCCAUCUCAUUCGCCUUUGGCCAGUAAAAUCCGGCUCGGUAUGCUUUGGCCACGAUGGUCCGAGAGGACGCAUGAUGACCACAGGUUCCCGAGUGGAUAUCAUUGAUGAUGAGUCGACCUUCUUCUGGUGUUAUGCACUUCUGACCAACUCCAGUCGCGCUUUCUCUGUAUAAUUGUCCUUUGAUUACGGUAAAGGCCUUAGAUCGACGGACGAUCUGUCGAGCCUCUUCCUCAUCCUCCGGAAGCUCUUUUCUCAGGAUAUACGCGACAUAUGGAACUGUCCAGUCGGGAAUGACCACCAAGACCUCCAUGAUCAAGUCGACCACCACUGAGACUUCAACCUCAGUCGGAUCUGUGGCACUCUUGGGCUGUGGAGUUUCUUCGGUGAAAGGAUCUUCUUUGACUGACGGAGUGUGUAUAUGCUCCAAGAACACACCACUCGGAAUGGCUUCUCUCUUGGAACCUAUCUUUGCUAGAUCAUCAGCUGCUUGAUUUUUCAGUCGGGGUAUAUGAUGGAGCUCCAACCCCUCGAACUUCUUUUCCAGCUUCCUCACUACACUGCAGUAUCCAGUCAUGGCUGGGCUUCUUACGUCCCACUCCUUCAUCACCUGGUUGACCACUAAAUCCGAGUCGCCAUAGACCAUCAGGCGACGGACACCGAGUGAAAUGGCCAUGCACAACCCAUAUAAGAGGGCCUCAUAUUCUGCCUCAUUGUUGGAGGAAUCAAAGUGUAUCUGGAGCACAUAUCUGAGCUUAUCUCCUCUGGGGGAAACCAGGACAACCCCAGCACCGGAACCAUUCAACAUCUUAGAACCAUCAAAGAACAUGGUCCAAUGCUCCGAGUGAACUUCAGUCGGCUGCUGCUGUUCAAUCCACUCGGCGAGGAAAUCUGCUAUUGCCUGGGACUUAAUGGCUUUCUUUGCCUCAAACUUGAUAUCAAGGGGAAGAAGUUCAAUCGCCCAUUUGGCCACUCGACCAGUUGCAUCUCUGUUGUGCAAAAUCUCUGAUAGUGGAGCGUCGCUGACGACUGUGAUGGAAUGAUCAGAAAAAUAAUGAGCAACCUUCUUUGUGGUCAUGUAUAUUCCAUACACAAGCUUCUGAUAAUGAGGAUAUCUCUGCUUGGAUGGAGUCAAGACUUCAGACAAAUAAUACACUGGGCGCUGAACUUUGAGAGCUUUUCCUUCUUCUUCCCGCUCGACCGUAAGCACAGUACUGACGACUUGUCCUGUGGCUGCGAUAUAGAGCAACAGAGGCUCUUUGCUGAUUGGAGCAGCAAGCACCGGCUGGGUGGAGAGCAGAGCUUUUAGCUCGGCAAACGCUGCAUCAGCUUCUGGAGUCCACUCGAACUUGUCUGUCUUCUUCAUCAGUCGGUAAAGAAGCAAUGCCUUUUCACCGAGUCGUGAGAUGAAUCGACUUAAUGCGGCCAAGCAUCCAGUAAGCUUCUGGACAUCGUGCACUCGCACAGGGCGUUUCAUUCGGAGAAUAGUGCCAAUCUUCUCUGGAUUAGCGAUUCCCCGUUCGAAAACGAGAAAACCGAGUAACUUGCCACCAGGAACUCCAAAUGUGCACUUUGAUGGAUUGAGCUUGAUAUCAUAUCUUCUGAGGUUGGCAAAUGUUUCGGCGAGAUCAGCGAGCAGGUCGGAACCUUUUCGUGACUUGACAACGAUAUCAUCCAUAUAUGCUUCCACAUUCCGACUGAUUUGAGUGAGUAGACACUUCUGAAUCAUUCGCAUAAAUGUGGCUCCGGCAUUCUUGAGGCCGAAUGGCAUGGUGAUAUAGCAGAAGCACCCAAAUGGAGUGAUGAAAGCUGUUUUUACCUCGUCGGGUCCGUACAGACGGAUCUGGUGGUACCCGGAGUAGGCAUCUAGAAAAGACAAUCUCUCGCAUCCCGCGGUCGAGUCAACAAUUUGAUCUAUGCGAGGGAGAGGAAAAUGAUCUUUCGGGCAGGCCCGGUUGAUGUGUUUGAAAUCAAUGCACAUUCGGAGUGAUUUAUCCUUCUUAGGAACCAUGACGACAUUAGCGAGCCACUCGGAGUGGUAUAUCUCUCGGAUAAAUUCUGCCGCCAAUAGUCGAGCCACUUCCUCACCAAUGGCUUUUCUCUUCUGGACGGCGGACCGCCGAAGAUGCUCUUUGACUGGUUUUGCAGAUGAGUCGACUCUUAGGCGAUGCUCAGCCAGUCCCCUGGGAACACCUGGCAUGUCAGCGGGCUUCCAUGCAAAAAUGUCCCAGUUCUCACGGAGGAACUGGAUGAGCGCUUCUUCCUAUUUUGGGUCGAGUGUUGUGGAGAUGCGGGUCGGAGCUGCAUCGGGGUCGGUCGGGUGAAUGUGAACAGGCUUCGUCUCACCGGACGACUGAAAUGCAGACUCUGUGGCGGGUUUCUUGGAUCGCAGCAAGUCACUCGGAUCUGCGUUUUGCUUGUACUCCUCGAACUCGACCGCUGUCACCUGGGAAUCGGCAAUCUUUGAGCCCUUCUGAAAGCACUCUUCUGCCUUUUUCCGAUCACUGGUGACAGUGAUCACUCCUUUGGGGCCGGGCAUCUUCAAUUUGAGGCACUCUGAAAAUCCACGACCUCAAACGUCAACUUUUCUUUGCGAAAAUGUUUCGAAUCACCAAACACCACGUCAAUUCUAUUUGGCCGAGUGACUCGGCUUUCUUCCCUGGUAUAACUCCAUGAAAGCUCAUGUUACUAGUGCUCAGUCGGGACAUCGGAAUGCCCAUUCCUUUUAGUGUGUCUGCAUACAAUAAAUUCAGCCCGCUUCCACCGUCCAUCAGUACUUUUGUCAGUCGAGUGCCUUCGACAACUGGAUCGACCACCAAAACUUGCCUCCCAGGGGUGGCAAUAUGAGUCGGGUGAUCAGAUUGGUCGAAUGUGAUGGGUAUUUGAGACCAUUUCAGAUAAUUUGCUUUUGCUGGGGCAACCAUGUUCACCUCUCGGUUAAUGACUUUCAAUCGACUCUUGCUUUCCACAUCUGCAAAGAUCAUCAGAGUGGAGUUGAUAUGCGGAUAUCCUCCCUCACUGUCCUCCUUGUCUUCGGCCUUGUCCGACUCCUUCUCCUUGUCCUUAGACUGUUUUCCCUGAAACUGUUGGAUCAGGAGUCGACAUUGGCGAGUGGUAUGCUUCGGGUAGAUGAUAUUCCCCUCUUCGUCUUUCUUCGUGUGGAUGUGACAUGGCAUAUCCAUUACGUCGUUCUCUUCUUUAUACUUUACCUUCUUGGGGUUCCAGGAUCCUUUUGGUUUCCCCUUAAACUUUCCCUGAGUCACGGCCAGAGCCUCUCCAGGGGCUGCCGGUUCAGCCUUCCGCUUCUGUUUCCGACUGGUGUUUCCUUUUUCCGACUGACUCGGCUUGUGCUUGCCGCUUCGGAGUCGGUCUUCUUCUUCGCUGUUGGCGUACUUGGUAGCAAUCUCCAUCAUCCGACUCAAGGUCAUGUCACCGGUUCGACCAAACUUCAAACUCAGUUCUCUGUUCUUGACGCCAUCUUUGAAGGCGCAGACUGCCUGAUGAUCAGACACAUUCUCCACAGUGUGGUGCAAAGUGAUCCAUCUCUGAAUAUACUCUCUGAGAGUCUCAUUGGUCUUCUGCACGCAGACUUGCAACUCUGUCAGUCCAGCUGGUCGCUUGCAAGUUCCUUCAAACGUUCUGAUGAACACUCGGGACAAAUCUUCCCAAGUGUAAAUGCUGCUAGGCGGUAAUUGAGUUAACCAUGCCCUGGCAGAACCUUCCAGCAUGAGGGGCAAAUGCUUCAUGGCCACCUCGUCGUUCCCACCACCAAUCUAAACUGCCACUCGGUAGUCCUCAAGCCAAGUUUCAGGCUUAGACUCACCAGUGAACUUGCUGACUCCUGUUGCCAACCUGAAAUUGGGAGGGAUAACUGCAGCUCUGAUAGCUCUGCUGAAACAUUCAGGACCAGAAACAUGCACUCGACUGCUUGUGGGCGCGUCUCUGUCGAGUCCGCCUCGAUGGGCUCUGUUCCGGUCGACCAAACCUUGCACGAUAAUGGAUCGCGCAUCGAAGCCUAGUUCUCUGGGGUCGACUGGAACCCUUCGCCCUGUACUGUACCGACGCCUGUCAUCUUGCUGCCGAGGAGCGUAAGACCCACCCCUCGGAGGGGAAUUGGGCACUCGACGCCUAUCAUCUCGGUCGAGUCGGUCGCCAUAUUGAUCUCGCCAAUUCUCGCACCCUUCACGCCGUAGAGGUGAUCUGGGGCUGUGAGCCGACUGAACCGUAUUCGCAGUGACGGAUCGACUGUGAAUUCUGUUGCGCGACUGAGACACGGCUGAAUUCUGAUCUCCUGCUGCCCGGAGCAGAUCCUUGAUCUGCAUCAAACCUCUGCCAGCUUCCGACUGAGAAGGCUGGAUGGACUCUGCUAUACGGGUCGCAGCUGCUAAAUUCUGGACUGGGGUUCGAUAUAUACCUGAGUCGGCGGGAAGAGUUGACGUCGACUGGUGUCGGGAACUCGUUGCCGCGCGCUCUCGUCGAGUGCUCGCUGAAGAUUCUCCAGUCGAGUGCGUUCGGCCAAAUUGGCCAGACGUGCCUCCUCCAAGGCACGAGCCUCGGGGGUUUCUCCUGCGAUGGGAGUACGCAGAGCAUCCACGUUCCUGCGGCGAAGUUCCUCUCUUUGCAGAGAGUCGAGUGGCUCGGGCUGGUACUCUUCGUGGCCUCGUGCGGGGUCGCCUCCGUCACCUGCUCCACCAUCACGGGUGAAGCCAGGGGGACUGCGGGGCCCGUCGACCAUCAAGAUUUCCGCCGCUGGAUCACUGCUACCGCACUCGGAUGCCGUCUCUACGGAGCCAGUCGACAGAUCGAACAAGCCAUAGAGAGAUUCGUCGGGCUCGAUUGCCGCAACUUGGGUGGUGGCCGAUUGGCGAGCCACCGCGUGCCUCACCCAUCGCUGAAGCCUCGACCGGCCCGAGCGCUUGCGCUGGCGGGAGACCGGGAGGGUGGACGAUGGAGGAGCCGACCGAUACGGGGUCGACGGUUGCCGCAGCAGAACGCCGCGGACACAUGCGCGAAAAUGCGUCGCACCGCGGACGGGGAGCGCAUCAACGUCGAGUGGAGCCUCCUGGAGCCACGCGGAGUCGUCGGCGAUGAAGGUGAGAGAGCCGAGAUGGAUCUCUCGACCCUCGACCAAAACUCCAGCAGACACCAUGAUGAAAGUACUCGGAAGAAUCGCAACUUCUCCACAAAAUCGCUAAAACACCCGCCCCAAGGUGGGCGCCAACUGUCGUGGUUCUAAGCCUGACAGUAGAGUGGGGGGUAGGUAUGGAGAGGCAAGGUCCUAGCUAUGGAGAGGUUGUAAACAUCAGGGAUGUACGAGUUCAGGCCCUUCUCGGAAGAAGUAAUAGCCCUACGUCUCGGAGCCCGGAGGCGGUCGAGUGGAUUAUGAGUAUAUGAGUUACAAGGUGCCGAACCCCUCUACCUGUGGAGGGGGGUGGCUUAUAUAGAGUGCGCCAGGACCCCAGCCAGCCCACGUAGGAGAGGAUGUAAGGUGAGUUAAGUCCGGGGCGUUACUGGUAACGCCCCACAUAAAGUGUCUUUACUAUCAUAAAGCCUACUUAAUUACAGGCCGUUGCAGUGCAGAGUGCCUCUUGACCUUCUGGUGGUCGAGUGAGUCUUCAUGGUCGAGUCCUUCAAGUCAGUCGAGUGAGUCCCUCGUUGGUCGACUGGAAGGCGACCUCUUCUAAGGGUGUCCUUGGGCAAGGUACUUAGAUCAGGUUCAUGACCCUACCCUAGGUACAUGACCCCAUCAGGUGGUACUAUCAUUACUAUCUUAUAUCUUUUGGCAUGAACAUGUGUAUCACUACGAUCGAGAUUCAAUAAACCAUUCAUUUUAGGUGUAAGACCAUUGAAGGUAUUAUUCAAAUAAACAGAGUAACCAUUAUUCUCCUUAAAUGAAUAACCGUAUUGCGAUAGACAUAAUCCAAUCAUGUCUAUGCUCAAUGCAAACACCAAUCUCGAUGGUAGAGGAAGCGUACGAUAUUUGAUCAACCUUGGAAAUAGUUCCAACACAUAUCGCCAUCUCACCUUUAGCUAGUCUCCGUUUAUUCCGUAGCUUUUAUUUCGAGUUACUAACACUUAGCAACCGAACCGGUAUCUAAUACCCUGGUGCUACUAGGAGUACUAGUAAAGUACACAUUAACAUAAUGUAUAUCCAAUAUACUUCUAUUGACCUUGCCAGCCUUCUUAUCUACCAAGUAUCUAGGGUAAUUCUGCUCCAGUGGCUGUUCCCUUUAUUACAGAAGCACUUAGUCUCGGGUUUGGGUUCAACCUUGGGUUUCUUCACUAGAGCAGCAGCUGAUUUGCCGUUUCAUGAAGCAUCCCUUUUUUGCCCUUGCCCUUCUUGAAACUAGUGGUUUCACCAACCAUCAACAAUUGAUGCUCCUUCUUGAUUUCUACUUUUGUGGUGUCAAACAUCGCGAAUAUCUCAAGGAUCAUCAUAUAUGUCCCUGAUAUAUUAUAGUUCAUCACGAAGCUCUAGCAGCUUGGUGGUAAUGACUUCGGAGAAACAUCACUACCUCAUCUGGAAGAUCAACUCCUACUUGAUUCAAAUGAUUGUUGUACUCAGACAAUCUGAGCACAAGCUCAACAAUUGAGCUUUUCUCCCUUAGUUUGCAGGCUAAGAAAAUUGUCAGAGGUCUUAUACCUCUUGACACGGGCACGAGCCUGAAAUCCCAAUUUCAGCCCUCGAAACAUCUCAUAUGCUUCGCGACGUUUCAAAAACAUCUUCGGUGCCUCAACUCUAAACCGUUUAACUGAACUAUCACAUAGUUAUCAAAAUGUGUAUGUCAGAUGUUCGCAACAUCCACAGAUGAUGUUUGAGGUUCAGCACACUGAGCGGUGCAUUAAGAACAUAAGCCUUCUAUGAAGCAAUGAGGACAAUCCUCAGUUUACGGACCUAGUCCGCAUAAUUGCUACUAUCAACUUUCAACUAAAUUUUCUCUAGGAACAUAUCUAAACAGUAGAACUAAAGCGCGAGCUUCGACAUAAUUUGCGAAGACCUUUUGACUUUGUUCAGGAUAAUUUAAGUUCAUCUUAUGAACUCCCACUCAGAUAGACAUCCCUCUAGUCAUCUAAGUGAUUACAUGAUCCGAGUCAACUAGGCCGUGUCCGAUCAUCACGUGAGACGGACUAGUCAUCAUCGGUGAACAUCUUCAUGUUGAUCGUAUCUACCAUAUGACUCAUGCUCGACCUUUCGGUCUCUUGUGUUCCGAGGCCAUGUCUGUACAUGCUAGGCUCGUCAAGUCAACCUAAGUGUUUCGCGUGUGUAAAUUUCGCUUACACCCGUUGUAUGUGAACGUAAGAAUCUAUCACACCCGAUCAUCAUGUGGUGCUUUGAAACGACGAACUUUCGCAACGGUGCUUAGUUAGGGGGAACACUUUCUUGAAAUUUUAAUGAGGGGUCAUCUUAUUUACUACCGUCAUUCUAAGCAAAUAAGAUGUAUAAACAUGAUAAACAUCACAUGCAAUCAAAUAGUGACAUGAUAUGGCCAAUAUCAUAUUGCUCCUUUUGAUCUCCAUCUUCGGGGCUCCAUGAUCAUCAUCGUCACCGGCAUGUGACCAUGAUCUCCAUCAUCAUGAUCUCCAUCAUCAUGAUCUCCAUCAUCGUGAUCUCCAUCAUCGUGUAUUCAUGAAGUUGUCUCGCCAACUAUUACUUCUACUACUAUAGCUAACGGUUAGCAAUAAAGUAAAGUAAUUACAUGACGUUUAUGUUGACACGCAGGUCAUAAAUAAAUUAAGACAACUCCUAUGGCUCCUGCCGGUUGUCAUACUCAUCGACAUGCAAGUCGUGAUUCCUAUUACAAGAACAUGAUCAUCUCAUACAUCACAUAUAUCAUUCAUCACAUCCUUUGGCCAUAUCACAUCACAUAGCAUACCCUGCAAAAACAAGUUGGACGUCCUCUAGUUGUUGUUUGCAUGUUUUACGUGGCUGCUAUGGGUUUCUAGCAAGAACGUUUCUUACCUACGCAAAACCACAACGUGAUAUGACAAUUGCUAUUUACCCUUCAUAAGGACCCUUUUCAUCGAAUCCGUUCCGACUAAAGUGGGAGAGACAGACACCCGCUAGCCACCUUAUGCAACUAGUGCAUGUCAGUCGGUGGAACCAGUCUCAUGUAAGAGUACGUGUAAGGUCGGUCUGGGCCGCUUCAUCCCACAAUACCGUCGAAACAAGAUUGGACUAGUAACGGUAAGCAUAUUGAACAAAAUCAACGCCCACAACUACUUUGUGUUCUACUCGUGCAUAGAAUCUACGCAAUAGACCUAGCUCAUGAUGCCACUGUUGGAGAACGUAGCAGAAAUUCAAAAUUUUCCUACGUGUCACCAAGAUCUAUCUAUGGAGAAACCAGCAACGAGGGGAAGGAGAGUGCAUCUACAUACCCUUGUAGAUCGCUAUGCGGAAGCGUUCAAGAGAAUGGGGUUGAAGGAGUCGUACUCGUCGUGAUCCAAAUCACCGAAGAUCCUAGUGCCGAACGGACGGCACCUCCGCGUUCAACACACGUACAGCCCGGUGACGUCUCCUACGCCUUGAUCCAGCAAGGGGUGAAGGAGAGGUUGGGAAAGACUCCAUCCAGCAGCAGCACGACGACAUGGUGGUGAAGGAGGAGCGUGGCAAUCCUGCAGGGCUUCGCCAAGCACCACGGGAGAAGAGGAGGACUUGGGAGAGGGGAGGGGCUGCGCCAAGACUUGGGUGCGGCUGCCCUCCCACCCCCACACAUAUAUAUAGGGGCAAGGGAGAGGGGGCCGGCCCCCUCAGAUCCAAUCUGAGGAGGGGGCGGCGGCCAAGGGGGGUUGCCUUGCCCCCCAAGGCAAGGGGGGCGCCCCCCCCUUUAGGGUUCCCCCAAACCCUAGGCGCAUGGGCCCUAAGGGGGGAGGUGCCCAGCCCACUAAGGGGCUGGUCCCUCUCCACAUACAGCCCAUAGGGCCGUCCGACGCAGGUGGACCCUCCAGGUGGACCCCCGUAACCCCUCCGGUGGUCCCGGUACAAUACCGAUAACCCCGAAUUAUUCCGGUGACCGUAUGAUGACUUCCCAUAUAUAAAUCUUUACCUCCGGACCAUUCCGGAACUCCUCAUGACAUCCGGGAUCUCAUCCGGGACUCCAAACAACAUUCGGUAACCACGUAUAUCUAUUCCCUAUAACCCUAGCGUCAUCGAACCUUAAGUGUGUAGACCCUACGGGUUCGGGAAACAUGCAGACAUGACCGAGACACCUCUCCGGUCAAUAACCAACAGCGGGAUCUGGAUACCCAUGUUGGCUCCCACAUGCUCCACGAUGAUCUCGCCGGAUGAACCACGAUGUCAAGGACUUAAUCAAUCCCGUAUACAAUUCCCUUUGUCUAGCGGUACGAUACUUGCCCGAGAUUCGAUCGUCGGUAUCCCAAUACCUUGUUCAAUCUCGUUACUGGCAAGUCUCUUUUACUCGUUCCGUAACACAUCAUCCCGUGAUCAACUCCUUGAUCACAUUGUGCACAUUAUGAUGAUGUCCUACCGAGUGGCCCAGAGAUACCUCUCUGUCACACGGAGUGACAAAUCCCAGUCUCCAUUCGUGCCAACCCAACAGACACUUUAGGAGAUACCUGUAGUGUACCUUUAUAGCCACCCAGUUACGUUGUGACGUUUGGCACACCCAAAGCACUCCUACGGUAUUCGGGAGUUGCACAAUCUCAUGGUCUAAGGAAAUGAUACUUGACAUUAGAAAAGCUUUAGCAUACGAACUACACGAUCUUUGUGCUAGGCUUAGGAUUGGGUCUUGUCCAUCACAUCAUUCUCCCAAUGAUGUGAUCCCGUUAUCAACGACAUCCAAUGUCCAUGGUCAGGAAACCGUAACCAUCUAUUGAUCAACGAGCUAGUCAACUAGAGGCUUACUAGGGACAUGGUGUUGUCUAUGCAUCCACACAUGUAUCUGAGUUUCCUAUCAAUACAAUUCUAGCAUGGAUAAUAAACGAUUAUCAUGAACAAGGAAAUAUAAUAAUAACUAAUUUAUUAUUGCCUCUAGGGUAUAUUUCCAACAUUGCAUUCCCCUCUCUUGUUGAGAAAUACACAAUUUAUGGAGGACCACAAUCUAUAUUGGCCCUCUAAGCUUUUCGCCCAUUUUGGCAAUCGAUGCCAAUGGGGGAGAAGUUUCAGAGAGUUUUGUGGAGAAGCUUUGGUUUAUGUUUCCUUAGCUUUUGCAUCUCAUUCGCAUGCAUUAUUGGUUGUUGCAGUGCAUGGUGAUGCAUAAUUCCUUGUAUAAACUCUCUUGAAAGUGAUUGUCAUCAAUUACCAAAAUGGGGGAGAUUGAAAGAACAUGCGGUGCCCCCAUGUUUGGUUUUGGUAAUUUAUGACAAUCUCUAUGGACUAAUGGUUGCCUUCAGUUAUAUUUGAAGGUUUUGUCCAUAGGCUUUUCUUGGAGUACAUGUGUUGGUUUCAAGGAGAGUUUGUGUUGACCAAUGUGCUAUUAAGGAAUUAUCCAAAGCUUGGUCAUGUGAGAGUUGAGCUUAUUGCAAGCAUGUCUUUAAGAAGAAGAUUGUGUGAUUAGAGUACAUGUGUUGGUUUCAAGGAGAGUUUGUGUUGGCCAAGGUGCUAUUAAGGAAUUAUCCAAAGCUUGGUCAUGUGAGAGUUGAGCUUAUUGCAAGCAUGUCUUGAAGAAGAAGAUUGUGUGAUCAUUCAUGUUUACCUUCAAGACAUCAUCCAAAUGAAGAGAGUUGGAAAGAUUCAAGGUUGAUCAAGACUAAGUCAAGAGUGAAUCAAGUUGAUCAACUCACAAAGCGUAGACGAUGUACCGAGAGGGAUCAAGUGAUCCCAUGGUUUGGUAAGCAUUGUCCAUUGUGUUUUGUGUACUAACCCAUGGUCUAUGUGAGAGUUCUACGUGGGGUUAGGUACGUGUUCAUGGGCUUGUGUCAAGAGGAAGAUAUCACUCAACCCAUGGAGAGGAUGACAUCAAGUGGUGAUCGUCAUCAAGAUUGCCGUGUGCAAGUUCAAGUGGACCAUCGUGAAGAGAUCAAGUGCUUGAAGCUUGCCGUCCAUUGUGGUGACAAUGGACUUGUGAAGAUGUGCCGAAGAGUGGCUCAUCCAUAGUGGACUAUGGGGGAGCAAUCAUCUAGUCUUCAUCGAGCCAACGCAAUCAAGAAAGGUGGUCCAACUUGAGGGAGUCAAGAUCGUCAUCAUCUAACUUAAGUGGACCAUGUGCAAGGCAAAGAUUUGCCCUUGAUAGGUUUUCUAUUUUACCGGUCUCAUGGUGGUAGUUUGGAGACCGGGUUAUAGGAUCGUUUGCCGUACUAUCAAUAGGGGCUCUCAAGUUGGUAGCUUGAUCGUAUCGUUAGUAGAGAGCUCAAACCAUUGCAUCCUUGCAUCAUAUUUCUUGGUUAUUGUUUGGUUCUCUUUGUGAGUCUUAGAGCUUAUGGUCAUCUUGAUGACAAGCUUGAGUUCAUCGAAAACGGAGUUCGCAUGCAUCUUCUAUGAUGUUUUCAGUGUUGGAGGUUUUACCGGUCUUUUCCGAGGAAGGGUUCUCACCAUUUUCUUAUCGGCCUUUUCUCAUUUGCUUCUUAUUGACAUUUCUUUGAAGAUUGUGUUAGCCCUUGUCGCUAGCUUUCUAACAAACUUGGUUUCAUCGAAUUCGGAGUCCGUUUGCAAAAGUUGUGGCAGUUUUGGUGUUCUGAAAAGGCUGCAGCGGUACUACCGCGAAUUGGAGCGGAUGUAAUUUUUUACUACCGCUCCAGAGCAGUACUACCGCGGCUCCUACAGCGGUAGUACCGCUCCGGUCCAAAAACUCGUCCCAAGUCUUGCGGUGGUAGGCCUGGAUGUAUUUUUUUAGUACCGCUUGCAAAGCAGUAGUACCGCUACCAUUUGCGGUAGUACCGUGAGGUCGAGCGGUAGUACCGUGAGGACGAGCGGUAGUACCGCUCCGGCGGUUCUUCUGGCCUUUUUCCUCCUCGCUGUUGUUUUUCAAAGGGGUACUUCCGCCCUAGCGGUAGUACCGCUCUGUGCGGGCUGUGAGCAUAACGGUUGGAUUUUUCCCCACCUAUAAAAGGGGGUCUUCUUCCCCAAUGAACCUUAUCCUUUGAGCUCAUGUUCUUCCCCCAUUGUUGACCUUCUUCGAGCUUGCUAACUCUCAAUCCCUCCAUGAUUUUUGCUAGUUCUUGAGGGAAAAGAGGGAGGAAAUCUAGAUCCACAUUUCCACCAAUCACUUUCUCCUCUAAGUGAGGGGAACCCCUUGGAUCUAGAUCUUGGAGUUCUUGGUGUUCUCCUUCUUGUUCUUCCUCUCAUUUUCCUCCCUAGCAUUAGUUGCUUCGGUGGGAUUUGAGAGAGAAGGACUUGGGCACUCCGUGUGCCCUUGCCAUUGCAUUUGGUGCAUCGGUUUGAGUUCUCCACGGUGAUACGUGGAAGUGAAGUUUGAGAAGCUUAUUACUCUUGGGUGUUUGGGCACCCUAGAGCUUGUUCCUCUUGGGUGCCUUGGCGCCCUAGACGGUUGGUGGUGUUCGGAGCUCAAUCAUUGUGGUGUAAAGCUCCGGGUGAUGGGGUUAUGUACCUAGGGUAGGGUCAUGGACCUGAUCUAAGUACCUUACCCAAGGACACCCUUAGAAGAAGUCGCCUUCCAGUCGACCAACGAGGGACACACUCGACUGACUUGAAGGACUCGACCACGAAGACUCACUCGACCACCAGAAGGUCAAGAGGCACUCUGCACUGCAACGACCUGUAAUCAAGUAGACUUUAUGAUAGUAAAGGCACUUUAUGUGGGGCGUUACCAGUAACGCCCCAGACUUAACUCACCUUAAACCCUCUCCUACGUGGGCUGGCUGGGGUCCUGGCGCACUCUAUAUAAGCCACCCCCCUCCACAGGCAGAAGGGUUCGGCACCUUGUAACUCAUAUACUCAUAAUCCACUCGACCGCCUCCGGGCUCCGAGACGUAGGGCUGUUACUUCCUCCGAGAAGGGCCUGAACUCGUACAUCCUUUGUGCUUACAACCUCUCCAUAGCUAGGACCUUGCCUCUCAAUACCUACCCCCCACUCUACUGUGAGGCUUAGAACCACGACAGUUGGCGCCCACCGUGGGGCAGGUGUUCUAGCGAUUUUGUGGAGAAGUUGCGAUUCUUCCGAGUACUUUCAUCAUGGUGUCUGCUGGAGUUUUGGUCGGGGGUCAAGAGAUCCGUCUCGGCACUCUCACCUUCAUCGCCGACGACUCCGCAUGGCUCCAGGAGGCUCCACUCGACGUAGAUGCGCUCCCCGUCCGCGGUGCGACGCAUUUUCGCGCAUGUGUCCGCGGCGUUCUGCUGCGGCAACCGUCGACCAAGUAUCGGUCGGCUCCUCUAUCGUCCACCCUCCCGGUCUCCCGCCAGCGCAAGCGCUCAGGCCGGUCGAGGCUUCAGCGAUGGGUGAGGCACGCGGUGGCUCGCCAGUCGGCCACCACCCAAGUUGCGGCAAUCGAGCCCAACGAAUCUCUCUACGGCUUGUUCGAUCAGUCGACUGGCUCCGUAGAGACUGCAUCCGAGUGCGAUAGCAGUGAUCCAGCAGCAGAAAUCUUGAUGGUCGAUGGGCCCCGCGGUCCCCCUGGCUUCGCCCAUGAUGGUGGAGCAGGUGACGGAGACGAUCCCGCACGAGGCUACGAAGAGUACCAGCCCGAGCCACUCGACUCUCUGCAAAGAGAGGAACUUCGCCGCAGGAACGAGGAUCCCCUGCGUAUUCCCAUCGCAGGAGAAACCCCCGAGGCUCGUGCCUUGGAGGAGGCGCGUCUGGCCAAUUUGGCCGAGCGCACUCGACUGGAGAAUCUUCAGCGGGCACUCGACGAGCGCGCGCGGCAACGAGUCCCCGACACCAGUCGACGUCAACUCUUCCCGCCGACUCAGGUAUAUCGAACCCCAAUUCAGAAUUUAGCAGCUGCGACCCAUAUAGCAGAGUCCAUCCAGCCUUCACAGUCGGAAGCUGGCAGAGGUUUGCUGCAGAUCAGGGAUCUACUCCGGGCAGCAGGAGAUCAGAAUUCAGCUGUGUCUCAGUCGCGCAACAGAAUUCACAGUCGAUCCGUCACUGUGAAUACGGUUCAGUCGGCGCACAGCCCCAGAUCGCCUCCGCGGCGCGAAGGGCGCGGGAAUCGGCGAGAUCAAUAUGACGACAGACUCGACCGAGAUGACAGGCGUCGAGUGCCCUAUUCCCCUCCGAGGGGUGGGUCUUACGCUCCUCGGCAGCCAGAUGAUAGGCGUCAGUACAGUACAGGGCGUAGGGUUCCAGUCGAACCCAGAGAACCAGGCUUCGACGCGCGAUCCAUUAUCGUGCAAGGGUUGGUCGAUCGGAACAGAGCCCAUCGAGGUGCACUCGACAGAGAUGUACCCACAAGCAGUCGAGUGCAUGUUUCUGGCCCUGAAUGUUUCAGCAGGACUAUCAGAGCUGCAGUUAUCCCUCCCAAUUUCAGGUUGGCAACAAGAGUCAGCAAGUUCACUGGUGAGUCAAAGCCUGAAACUUCGCUCGAAGACUACCGAGUGGCAGUUCAGAUUGGUGGUGGGAACGACGAAGUGGCCAUGAAGCACUUGCCCCUCAUGCUGGAAGGUUCUGCCAGGGCAUGGUUGACUCAAUUACCUCCUAGCAGCAUUUACACUUGGGAAGAUCUGUCCCGAGUGUUCAUCAGAACGUUUGAAGGAACUUGCAAGCGACCAGCUGGAUUGACAGAGUUGCAAGUCUGCGUGCAGAAAACUAAUGAGACUCUCAGAGAGUAUAUUCAGAGGUGGAUCACUUUGCACCACACUGUGGAGAAUGUGUCUGAUCAUCAGGCAGUCUGCGCCUUCAAAGAUGGUGUCAAGAACAGAGAACUGAGUUUGAAGUUUGGUCGAACCGGUGACAUGACCUUGAGUCGGAUGAUGGAGAUUGCUACCAAGUACGCCAACGGCGAAGAAGAAGACCGACUCCGAAGCGGCAAGCACAAGCCGAGUCAGUCGGAAAAAGGAAACACCAGUCGGAAACAGAAGCGGAAGGCCGAACCGGCAGCUCCUGGAGAGGCUCUGGCCGUGACUCAAGGAAAGUUUAAGGGUAAACCAAAAGGAUCCUGGAACCCCAAGAAGGUAAAGGAUAAAGAAGGGAACGACGUGAUGGAUAUGCCAUGUCACAUUCACACGAAGAAAGACGAAGAGGGGAAUAUCAUUUACCCGAAGCACACCACUCGCCAAUGUCGACUCCUGAUCCAGCAGUUUCAGGGAAAACAGUCUAAGGACAAGGAGAAGGAGUCGGACAAGGCCGAAGACAAGGAGGACAGUGAGGAAGGAUAUCCGCAUAUCAACUCCACUCUGAUGAUCUUUGCAGAUGUGGAAAGCAGAAGUCGACUGAAAGUGAUUAACCGAGAGGUGAACAUGGUUGCCCCCGCAAAAGCAAAUUAUCUGAAGUGGUCUCAAACACCCAUCACAUUCGACCAAUCUGAUCACCCGACUCAUAUUGCCACCCCUGGGAGGCAAGCUUUGGUGGUCGAUCCAGUUGUCGAAGGCACUCGACUGACAAAGGUGCUGAUGGAUGGUGGAAGUGGGCUGAACUUAUUGUAUGCAGACCCAUUGAAAGGUAUGGGCAUUCCGAUGUCCCGACUGAGCACUAGUAACAUGAGCUUUCAUGGAGUUAUACCAGGGAAGAAGGCCGAGUCACUCGGCCAGAUAGCUUUGGACGUGGUGUUUGGCGAUUCAAAGCAUUUUCGCAAAGAAAAGUUGACGUUUGAGGUCGUGGAUUUUCAAAGUGCAUAUCAUGCCAUUUUGGGGAGACCAGCUUACGCGCGGUUCAUGGCUCGACCAUGCUAUGUGUACCUCAAAUUGAAGAUGCCCGGUCCCAAAGGAGUGAUCACUAUCACCGGUGAUAGGAAAAAGGCAGAAGAGUGCUUUCAGAAGGGCUCCAAGAUUGCCGAUUCCCAGGUGACGGCAGUCGAGUUUGAAGAAUACAAGCAAAACGCAGAUCCGAGUGACUUGCUGCGAUCCAAGAAGCCCGCCACAGAGUCUGCAUUCCAGUCGUCCGGUGAGACGAAGCCUGUUCACAUUCACCCGACCGACCCCGAAGCAGCUCCGACCCGCAUCUCCACGACACUCGAUCCAAAAUAGGAAGAAGCGCUCAUCCAGUUCCUCCGUGAGAACUGGGACAUUUUUGCAUGGAAGCCCGCUGACAUGCCAGGUGUUCCCAGGGGACUGGCUGAGCAUCGCCUAAGAGUCGACUCAUCUGCAAAACCAGUCAAAGAGCAUCUUCGGCGGUCCGCCGUCCAGAAGAGAAAAGCCAUUGGCGAAGAAGUGGCUCGACUGUUGGCGGCAGGAUUUAUCCGAGAGAUAUACCACUCCGAGUGGCUCGCUAAUGUCGUCAUGGUUCCUAAGAAGGACAAGUCGCUCCGAAUGUGCAUUGAUUUCAAGCACAUCAACCGGGCCUGCCCGAAAGAUCAUUUUCCUCUCCCUCACAUAGAUCAAAUUGUUGACUCGACCGCGGGAUGUGAGAGGUUAUCUGUUUUAGAUGCCUACUCCGGGUACCACCAGAUCCGUCUGUACGGGCCCGACGAGGUAAAAACAGCUUUCAUCACUCCAUUCGGGUGCUUCUGCUAUAUCACCAUGCCGUUCGGCCUCAAGAAUGCCGGAGCCACAUUUAUGCGAAUGAUUCAGAAGUGUCUACUCACUCAAAUCAGUCGGAAUGUGGAAGCUUAUAUGGAUGAUAUCGUUCUCAAGUCGCGGAAAGGUUCCGACCUGCUCGCUGACCUCGCCGAAACAUUUGCCAACCUCAGAAGGUAUGAUAUCAAGCUCAAUCCAUCAAAGUGCACAUUUGGAGUUCCUGGUGGCAAGUUACUCGGUUUUCUCGUUUCCGAACGGGGAAUCGACGCUAACCCAGAGAAGAUUGGCACUAUUCUCCGAAUGAAACGCCCUGUGCGAGUGCAUGAUGUCCAGAAGCUUACUGGAUGCUUGGCCGCAUUAAGUCGAUUCAUCUCACGACUCGGUGAAAAGGCAUUACCUCUUUACCGACUGAUGAAGAAGACAGACAAGUUCGAGUGGACUCCAGAAGCUGAUGCAGCGUUUGCCGAGCUAAAAGCUCUGCUCUCCACCCAGCCGGUGCUUGCUGCUCCAAUCAGCAAAGAGCCUCUGUUGCUCUAUAUCGCAGCCACAGGACAAGUCGUCAGUACUGUGCUAACGGUCGAGCGGGAAGAAGAAGGAAAAGCUCUCAAAGUUCAGCGCCCAGUGUAUUAUUUGUCUGAAGUCUUGACUCCAUCCAAGCAGAGAUAUCCUCAUUAUCAGAAGCUUGUGUAUGGAAUAUACAUGACCACAAAGAAGGUUGCUCAUUAUUUCUCUGAUCAUUCCAUCACAGUCGUCAGCGACGCUCCACUAUCAGAGAUUUUGCACAACAAAUAUGCAACUGGUCGAGUGGCCAAAUGGGCGAUUGAACUUCUUCCCCUUGAUAUCAAGUUUGAGGCAAAGAAAGCCAUUAAGUCCCAGGCAAUAGCAGAUUUCCUUGCCGAGUGGAUUGAACAGCAGCAGCCGACUGAAGUUCACUCGGAGCAUUGGACCAUGUUUUUUGAUGGCUCUAAGAUGUUGAAUGGUUCCGGUGCUGGGGUUGUCCUGGUUUCCCCCAGAGGAGAUAAGCUCAGAUAUGUGCUCCAGAUUCACUUUGAUUCCUCCAACAAUGAGGCAGAAUAUGAAGCCCUCUUAUAUGGGUUGCACAUGGCCAUUUCACUCGGCGUCCGUCGCCUGAUGGUCUAUGGCGACUCGGAUUUAGUGGUCAAUCAGGUGAUGAAAGAGUGGGACGUGAGAAGCCCAGCCAUGACUGGAUACUGCAGUGCAGUGAGGAAGCUGGAAAAGAAGUUCGAGGGGUUGGAGCUCCAUCACAUACCCUGACUGAAAAAUCAAGCAGCUGAUGAUCUAGCAAAGAUAGGUUCCAAGAGAGAAGCCAUUCCGAGUGGUGUGUUCUUGGAGCAUAUACACGCUCCGUCAGUCAAAGAGGAUCCUUUCACCGAAGAAACUCCACAGCCCAAGAGUGCCACAGAUCCGACUGAGGUUGAAGUCCCAGCAGUGGUCGACUUGAUCAUGGAGGUUUUUGUGGUCAUUCCCGACUGGACGAUUCCGUAUGUCGCAUAUAUCCUGAGGAAAGAGCUCCCGGAGGAUGAGGAAGAGGCUCGACAGAUCGUCCGUCGAUCUAAGGCCUUUACCGUAAUCAAAGGACAAUUAUACAGAGAAAGCGCGACUGGAGUUGGUCAGAAGUGCAUAACACCAGAAGAAGGUCGACUCAUCCUCAAUGAUAUUCACUCGGGGACCUGUGGUCAUCAUGCGUCCUCUCGGACCAUCGUGGCCAAAGCAUACCGAGCUGGAUUUUACUGGCCAAAGGCGAAUGUGAUGGCAAAAGAGAUAGUGGAUAAGUGCGAGGGAUGUCAAUUCUACUCGAAUAUGUCACACAAGCCUGCGUCGGCUCUGAAGACCAUUCCACUCGUCUGGCCUUUCGCAGUAUGGGGAUUGGACAUGGUCGGUCCUUUGAGAACAGGACGAAGUGGCUUCACGCAUGUACUGGUGGCAGUCGACAAGUUCACCAAGUGGAUCGAGGCUAAACCAAUCAAGAGCCUUGACACCGGUACUGCUGUUAGCUUCAUCAGGGAACUAAUAUUCAGAUAUGGAGUCCCACACAGCAUCAUUACGGAUAAUGGGUCGAACUUUGACUCAGAGGAAUUCAAAGCUUUCUGCAACUCCCAGGGCACACGGGUCGACUACGCUUCAGUCGCCCAUCCGCAGUCGAAUGGACAAGCAGAGCGAGCUAAUGGACUGAUUCUUAAGGGAUUGAAGCCUCGACUGAUGCGUGAUCUCAAACACGCGGCUGGAGCUUGGGUCGACGAACUUCCCUCAGUACUCUGGGGACUGCGGACCACACCUAAUCGGUCGACCGGAAGAACUCCAUUCUUCUUGGUCUACGAAGCUGAAGCAGUCUUGCCGAGUGAUCUUCUCCACAAUGCUCCUCGAGUUGAAAUCUACAACGAAGCAGAGGCUGAACAAGCGCGGCAAGACGCAGUCGACCUUUUAGAGGAAGAAAGGGAGAUGGCUCUGAUCCGGUCGACCAUCUACCAACAAGAUUUGCGUCGUUUCCACGCCAGAAAUGUGAGAAGUCGAGCCUUCCAGGAAGGAGAUUUGGUUCUCCGAGUGGAUCAGCACAAACCACACAAGCUUGCUCCUUCUUGGGAAGGCCCCUUCAUCAUCACCAAGGUUCUCCACAACGGGGCGUACCGUCUUUACAACGUCGAGCAUAAUAUCGACGAGCCCCGAGCUUGGAACGCGGAGCUACUCCGCCCAUUUUACACUUAAAUUUUAUCACUCGGAUGAGUUGCAAUAAAGUACUUCUGUAGUUCAUGGACCUCAAAAUAAUAGUGUCAUAGUCCCUCCAUAAUUUCUGUCGCUUUUUAUUUUUGUCCAAUAAAAUUCCCCCUCAGUGGGUGACUUAGCUGCGAAUCCGUUUCGCCUAAGUUUGUAAAAAUCCUACCGAGUGGCGAGCUAGACUCCCACUCGGAGGCUUAGCUGCGAAUCCGUUUCGCCUAAGUUAUCAAAAUCCUACCGAGUGGUAAGCCAGCCUUUCACUCGGGGGCUUAGCUGCAGCCCUGUGCUCGCGUAAGUUACAAAAAUCCUACCGAGUGGUAAGCCAGCCUUUCACUCGGGGGCUUAGCUGCAGCCCUGUGCUCGCCUAAGUUACAAAAAUCCUACCGAGUAUAGAGCAACCCUCUCACUCGGGGGCUUAGCUGCAGCCCUGUGCUCGCCUAAGUUACAAAAAUCCUACCGAGUGUAGAGCAACCCUCUCACUCGGGGGCUUAGCUGCAGUCCGAGCACUCGCCUAAGCNNNNNNNNNNNNNNNNNNNNNNNNNNNNNNNNNNNNNNNNNNNNNNNNNNNNNNNNNNNNNNNNNNNNNNNNNNNNNNNNNNNNNNNNNNNNNNNNNNNNNNNNNNNNNNNNNNNNNNNNNNNNNNNNNNNNNNNNNNNNNNNNNNNNNNNNNNNNNNNNNNNNNNNNNNNNNNNNNNNNNNNNNNNNNNNNNNNNNNNNNNNNNNNNNNNNNNNNNNNNNNNNNNNNNNNNNNNNNNNNNNNNNNNNNNNNNNNNNNNNNNNNNNNNNNNNNNNNNNNNNNNNNNNNNNNNNNNNNNNNNNNNNNNNNNNNNNNNNNNNNNNNNNNNNNNNNNNNNNNNNNNNNNNNNNNNNNNNNNNNNNNNNNNNNNNNNNNNNNNNNNNNNNNNNNNNNNNNNNNNNNNNNNNNNNNNNNNNNNNNNNNNNNNNNNNNNNNNNNNNNNNNNNNNNNNNNNNNNNNNNNNNNNNNNNNNNNNNNNNNNNNNNNNNNNNNNNNNNNNNNNNNNNNNNNNNNNNNNNNNNNNNNNNNNNNNNNNNNNNNNNNNNNNNNNNNNNNNNNNNNNNNNNNNNNNNNNNNNNNNNNNNNNNNNNNNNNNNNNNNNNNNNNNNNNNNNNNNNNNNNNNNNCCAAGCACUCGCCUAAGUUAUCAAAAUCCUACCGAGUGUAGAGCAACCCUCUCACUCGGAGGCUUAGCUGCAGUCCAAGCACUCGCCUAAGUUAUCAAAAUCCUACCGAGUGUAGAGCAACCAUCUCACUCGGAGGCUUAGCUGCAGUCCAAGCACUCGCCUAAGUUAUCAAAAUCCUGCCGAGUGAAGAGUAAACCUCUCACUCGGGGACUUAGCUGCAGCCCAGUGCUCUCCUAACUGGACUGAAGAAUAAGUCGAUUGCAGUAAAGGCGCCUUGCUUUGGACCUGCAAAAGACAUUUCGAGCCAAAGGCAAUCAUAUUCAAGCACCAAAUUCAAGUUUGAAUCGAUAUCUAAAGGAACCGAGAGUGCUCACGCGUUAAGCCUGUUAAGGUUUAUCGGUUACAAUUCCACUCGGCAUACCGAGGCAAAUUUAAAAGCGUCGAGCCAGAAUAAGUUUUUUAUCCCUCCUGUGGAGGGCUGGAAGGAGCAACGAAUUCAUCAAGGUCAAUUCCGUCGGCGAUCCAAGUGGCAGCUGCAAGGAAAGUUUCCAUAAAGGACCUAAAGUCGUGCUUCUUGGUAUUGGCCACCCGAAGGGCCGCCAGCUUCUCUUCUCGUGCAUCCUUACAGUGGACUCGGGCAAGACACAGAGCAACAUCUGCACCACACCGAGCCGAGGACUUCUUCCAUUCCUGCACUCGACCAGGGAUCGCGUUCAACCGGGCCAUCAGCGAUUCAAGGUCAUUCUGAAGUGUCUCCUCAGGCCAAAGCGUCGAGUCGAUGCGAGAUGUGGCGGCCUUCAGCCUUGCGAGAUAGUCCACGACAGCUGCAACACGGGACUCCAGUCGGAAAACAUCCAUGGCAACUUCAUCGUUCACCGGAGAAUUGACAGGGUCGAGGUUUGGCUCCAGCCGGCUAGUUUCUUCUUCAAAGUUUUGACAAAAUUCUGCAAGGGUGAUCACUAAGUCAAGGAGAUGGUCGAAUGGAAAAAUCACAAUUGGAAAUGUCUGCCAAGCAUAGAGGUUUACCUUCAAGCAUAAGAAACAACUUCUUGGCAAGUCCACUCAGGAAGGCCUCCAGAUCAGUUUUCUUCCCAGUCAAUUUGGCGACUUGGUCGGUCAGGGCAGCUUUAUCAGUUUUCAGUCGACUGACCUCCUUGUUGGCAAUCCCAAGAGCAGCUUUCAGAUUGGUAUUGUCUUGUUCGAGCUUGGUGACUGAAGCUAACUUCUCGUCAGCAAGCUUGAUCUUCUCAGCUAGCUCAAGGUCUUUCUUCUGUUGGGCCUCCCUUACCUUACCUGCAAGUUACAGCAAGAUCAGAUUUUGAAACAAGCAAGGGAAAAAGCAGUCGUCAGGGUCUCACCAAACAUACCUUCGGUCUCCUCCUUUGCCUUUGUCAGCUUCUCCUGAACCAGCUUCAAGCUCAGCUCGACUUGAGUAUGCUUGUGCUCCAGCUCUGAGUAGCGAGCCACAAGAUCACAAGAGUUCUGCGAAGAACCAAUCGACUAAAUGUCAAAUUUAAUUCACUUCCGAGUGAAAAAGGGAAAAACUCACGUUUCUAAGACUACAGCCGAGUACAAGCAUUCGACCGUAGUCUCGGGGACUACACCCAGUGGGUGCACUCAGCAUGCCCCCACUAAUCCUGUUGAAGACAAAGUCGACCAGUCGACCUCAAAAAAAAAAGAUGUAUUCUCUAAGACUGUGAUCAACUGCAAGCAGUCGACCACAGUCUCGGGGACUACACCCAGUGGGUGCACUCAGCGUGCCCCCACCGGUUUGUGAAAUCCAGUCGACUGACAGAAAAAUUGACAUCAUAAAGCCUAAGGCCGACUGCCAGCAGUCGACCUUAGCCUUGGGGACUACACCCAGCGGGUGCACUCAGCGUGCCCCCGCUAAUACGGAACUCAAUCGACAACACCCACUGGGUGACUACUAUAAAUUCCGGAAAGGAAAAGUUUUUGGCAGCAUAUCCAACAGAACAAACGGUGGUCGACUGACCUGAACAUUGCUUUGGAGGGCAGAACUGGCGUCAUAAGCUGCCUGGCUCGCGUCCCGGAUGGUCUUCAGCUGCUCCAUCAUGAGUCCCGCCUGGCGUAUCGCCUCCUUCGCUGCGCCAGCUUGGUCCUCUGGGACGUGGUGCGUCGUGAAGAGGGAGGGCUGUUGAGCACUCGUCAGUGGAUUCGCGAAGGACACCGUGUGUUGAGUGGUGUUCUCUUCCUCCACAGUCAGAAUCUCAGGCGCCGUCACAUCCUGAGGCACCUUACUGGCGGACGCUUUCCGACUCCUCCUGUGCUUCAGCGGCUCUUCAUCCUCAUCAUCAUCAGGAAGAUUGAUAACAGUAUUGGGUGGAGCUGCGGAGAAGAAUCAGGAUCAGAGAUCGCGAGUCAGUCGACUAAGAACGGCGUUAAGAAUACAGUACCUGGGUUCGAAGUUGCUGCGUCCUCCAUCUCGUCGUCAUCAGCCCGGGCCGAGGUUUCAGAAGUAGCAGCACUGCAACUCCAAAGGAUCAGUCGACUAACUUCAGCGUCGACCAGAGACAAAGUUCACACAAAAUGAGAAGAUUCAAACAACACGAUUACCCUGAUAUGGUAGGGAUGGACACCUUCAUCUUCGGUAGGAGCUUGAUCGGCUUCGACGAGGCCGCCCUGGGCUGCUUCGGCGCCUUUUCAGUCGGCACCGGAGAGGUGGUCCGAGGGCGCUUGGUUGACUGAGUGGCGGUCGCAACCCCCUUACCACGUUCAGUCGAAGGGUCGUGGACAAGCUUUGACCGCCUUUCUGAGCGCGGUGGUACGACCUCCUCCUCCUCUUCUUCCUCGUCCUCGACGUCAUCUUCAUCACCGUCAUCAUCAUCAUCGUCGUCAUCAUCCUCUGCAACAUCCGAGUCCCAUUCCUCCUCUUCCUGGCUCUCGCCCCCGCUCGCCUCGCCCUCCUCAGUCGAAGCUUGUGCCCCAUUGGGCAUCGAGUACAGCUCGGUGAGGGCCUAGCAGAUGUCCAGACAAGGAUCAGUCGACCAGUCGGCAGGGUAAACAGAAAUGAAUGCGACAAAAGCACAGUGGAGAGCAGGGCAAGUAUACCUUGUUUGGGUCGCUGUUGUGGUCGAGUGGAGGAAUCCUUCUGGCUCCGCGUGGGUUAUCCUUAUUUCCGGUAACGGCUACCAUCCACCUUUCCAGAGUGACGUCGUCGACUGCUUCUGGAUGGACUCUAGUCUCGUCUUCGGUCCCACAGUACAACCACAUGCAGUGGCUCCGGAACUGAAGGGGCUGGAUGCGACGCCUGAGGAAGACCUCCAGAAGGUCCAUGCCCGUCACUCCCUCCCGAACCAACUGCACCACGCGCUCCAUCAACAUCUUCACGUCAGCUUUCUCCUCCGGAAUCAGCUUCAGAGGGGAGGGCUUGUUCACUCGGUCCAUGGUAAACGGAGGGAGUCCACUCGACUGCCCCGGCGUCGACUGGACCUGGCAGUAGAACCAAGUCGACUGCCAGCCUCUGACGGACUCGGGAAAGGUCAUGGGCGGGAAGGUGCUCUUAUUCCUCACCUGGAUCCCCAGGCCCCCACACAUUUGGACGACUCGGGUUCUCUCAUCACCUGGGAUCGCCUUCUUCACGGUCUGAGAGCGACACGUGAAUAUAUGUUUGAACAAACCCCAGUGCGGUCGACAGCCCAAGAAACCCUCACACAUGGACACGAAUGCAGCAAGAUAGGCAAUGGAGUUUGGGGUAAAGUGGUGGAGCUGCGCUCCGAAGAAAUUCAAGAAGCCACGGAAGAAAAUACUCGGCGGCAAGGAAAACCCACGAUCAACAUGAGUGGCCAAAAGCACACACUCACCCUCUUCUGGCUGAGGUUGCCACUCCUUCCCCGGAAGCCUCGCAGCUCCGUGAGGGAUCAAGCCCUCGUUGGCCAUGUCGAGGAGGUCCUUCUCUGUGAUGGUCGACUGGAUCCAGUCUCCUUGGACCCAGCCCUUCGGCAGACGGGAUCUGGACGAGGACCCUCCGCGGCUGGUGGAUCUCCCCUUCGCCUUCUCCGACGCCGACGCCUUCUUUGCGCGCUCCAGUGCCGCCGUCUUCUCCUUGGCCAUGGUCGCCGGCGAGAUGCGCGAAGGGAAGUGGUGCGGGGGCGAGAGCGAGCACGCUGGGCGGAGAAGAAGGAAGCAGAGAGAGGGAGAGAAUGCUGAGGCGCAGCACAGAAAUCCUCGCCGGGCACAUUUAUAAGGUCUCUUCCGAGUGGAUGACAGGUGGGCCCGUCGAUCUAAUCAUAUCUGGGAGCAGUUACGCAGACUGGAUACGUGGCGAAAAAGGCGGCGCGGAGAUCGAGGCGUCUAUGCCCCGUCCCAUCCGAACGCCGCGGUCCGCCCCACUUCGCGCGCGUCCCCAAAUUUCGCAUCCCGCGGAAUCCGCAAACAACAAAUCAGUCUGUCAGACGCGGUGUUUCCGGCGAUCCGUCGCUCGGAGAUCGUCGAAGCCCAAAAGAUCACUCGACGCAAAAAUAGAAUGGAUCGAGUCGACUGAAGGCAAAUUGCUCCCUAUCGACGAAGAGAUUCUUUGGUCCAGGACAACGCACGACCAGGGCACAAAGGUUAAUCGGAAACGACAUCAACUCCUUCCUCACUCGAAGCCUCAAUCCAUUCGGGGGCUAAUGAUGGGGUUAUGUACCUAGGGUAGGGUCAUGGACCUGAUCUAAGUACCUUACCCAAGGACACCCUUAGAAGAAGUCGCCUUCCAGUCGACCAACGAGGGACACACUCGACUGACUUGAAGGACUCGACCACGAAGACUCACUCGACCACCAGAAGGUCAAGAGGCACUCUGCACUGCAACGACCUGUAAUCAAGUAGACUUUAUGAUAGUAAAGGCACUUUAUGUGGGGCGUUACUAGUAAUGCCCCAGACUUAACUCACCUUAAACCCUCUCCUACGUGGGCUGGCUGGGGUCCUGGCGCACUCUAUAUAAGCCACCCCCCUCCACAGGCAGAAGGGUUCGGCACCUUGUAACUCAUAUACUCAUAAUCCACUCGACCGCCUCCGGGCACCGAGACGUAGGGCUGUUACUUCCUCCGAGAAGGGCCUGAACUCGUACAUCCUUUGUGCUUACAACCUCUCCAUAGCUAGGACCUUGCCUCUCAAUACCUACCCCCACUCAACUGUCAGGCUUAGAACCACGACACCGGGCAAGCGUCGGGGUCUCCAAUUAGGUUUUGGAGAUCGCCCCGAGCAAUUUGACGGGUACCGGUGACCGCCCCCAAGGGUUGCCAAAGUGUACGGGUUCGGUGACCGCCCCCAAGGGUUGCCAUUUGUACGGGUUCGGUGACCGCCCUCAAGGGUCCCUUAGUGAAAUCACGGCAUCUUGCAUUGUGCGAGGGCGUGAGGAGAUUACGAUGGCCCUAGUGGCUUCUUGGGGAGCAUUGUGCCUCCACACCGCUCCAAACGGAGAUUAGCAUCCGCAAGGGUGUGAACUUCGGGAUACAUCACCGUCUCCGCGUGCCUCGGUUAUCUCUUACCCGAGCUCUUUACUUAUGCGCUUUACCUUGUGAUAGCCUUAUUGUUUCUUGUCAUAUAUCUUGCUAUCACCUAGUAGUUUAUCUUGCUUAGCAUAAGUUGUUGGUGCACAUAGGUGAGCCUAGUUGUUGUAGGUUUUGUGCUUGACAAAUUAACCGUUAGGUUUAUUCCGCAUUUGUUCAAGCCUAAACCGUAAUUAUUUUAAAAGCGCCUAUUCACCCCCCUCUAGGCGACAUCCACGAUCUUUCACCUACCAUGCAGUUAUGCCUCUAAGUCGUGCUCCGACACGUGGGAGAUAUAGCCGCAUCGUGGGUGUUACAGUAGUCCUUCCCCUCCUCUUGGCAGCCUCGCAUCCCCUCUAACCUAUAUAUACUUGAGGUAUUGGCCCUUUUCUACACACAAGUUUUGGAUCUUCCUCUAGUUCAUCCAGUUUUAUUUCUAAUUGGUCCUAAUUGACUAACGAGAGCUAGACCUAGUUCCUCCAAUCCUCAUAAUUAGAAGUCCAGUGUGGUUUUAAUCUCUCAUCUCUAAUUCUCCAGCGACGAUUAGCUCUGGAUGGCGAAGUGCUACUAGAUCAUGAAGACCGUACGCUUGCAACCAAGUAGAGAGGUCAUGCUUUCGGUGUUCUAUUCGAGGGAUCGUUUGAGGGCAGUUCGCGAGAUCAUCGUCAACGGUUCAUGGAACUCCAAGUACGAUCUACACCGUCUCAUCUACUUCUGUUGCACUACGGACUCGGUAACGAUCAUUGAUCCAAACCCUAUAUGCAUCUUCAUACUGUUCCUAGGUGUUCGUAGGGCAAUUGUUUGUUUUAUACUAUGUUUCCCAAUAGAACCAACACCUUAUGCAUAAUCUUUAAGAUAAAAUAAAGGACAAGUUUCAUAUUUCCGGAACUCCUAUUGGUCAAUCUUAUCAUAACCACUUGAGUACUUGUAUGAUGCAUUAUUUUCUGAUGACAUGGACAUUUUUACCAAGAAGCUAACAAAUGUUGGAGAUACUCUUACAUUUUUAUACUCCGUACACACUUUGUACUAAAUCUCCGGGCCUUAUUUUGGGAUGGAGGAAGUAUAUAUCUCUUCCAUGGGUAAGAUCACUAUGUAAGUGGGCCUAGCCUACUAUUGUUUGUUCUAACAUCCUUAAUAAUGUUAUUUAGAGCAUCUACAGUUGGGCGCCCCCAACCCUUUCUAUACGUCCGGGCAGAUAGCCCAAUAGCUAAUCGGUCAAAACACCCGACCUAGCGGGAAUCCUCAAACCGGCCCCAAACGUCUGGGCUGUCCGGCACACCUCAUAUCCAGCCCAUAUCAAGAGGGGAUGUGGGAGGCCCUGGCGCGUCCGCCAUGUCAGCCCGGCCACACUGGCCCAUCCCGACCCAAUUCGGUCCCCACUAAAAAUCCCACCUGGAGUAAACCCCAGCUCCAUUUCACUCUCACUCCACUCUUCGUCUACUCUUCUCCCACUCCUCAACAAAUCCCCCCCUCUUCAUCCACCAUGUCCAACACCAACAAUGGUGGAGAUGACGGAUCCGGUGAUGAGUGGGACGCCUUCCCUAAUGAGGUGGAGGACGGCGGGGAGGAGCUGGCCCUCCGCAUCAUGCUACAGUGCUCGCGGGUGGACACAGGUAGCAGCUCCGACUCUGCUCCAUCCCCUGUCGCCACCGGACGCUUUGUCGGGCCCAUCCGCACUGUGUAUAGCUCUGUGUGGUCAACCUGCUCCAUGCCACUAGUUCGCCACCCUCCUAACCCUCCGGCUGCUCCUCCUCAAGAGAAUUGAUGCACGUUAGUGCCCGCUCCACCGGCGGCAUGGACGCGCAUGCCUGAAUCUGAGGCAUGCGUCGCCUGCUGCGAGAGCCAUCGGGCUAGGGAGAGGACGAUGGCGUCGAAGGCGGCUGCAUAGUCCUCCCGACAUCGUCGUAGAUUGUAGGCGGUGUCCAAUGAGGACUCGCGGCUCCUCGCGGCUGUCUACCAUCGCUCACUUACGACCUCGACGUGCGAGGCGACAAAGAGGGCGGCGGCAGAUGCAAGAGCAGCAAAGCUCAAGAGGCAGCAGAAUCGCUUAUCCGGAGAAUGGCCGUCUUCAUUGACUCCUCGUCCUCCUCCAACAUCACCGAUGGCUCCGAUGACCCAUCUUCUUCCACCGACGCCUACACGGAUGCCUACUGCAGCGCCGUUGACUAGAAGGGAAAAAUGCUGGUGAGGAAAUGGUGAAGAAGCUCUGCCCUCUCUCAGCCUUUAUUUCCCCCCUUAGUAAUUUUAGUUGAGAAUUAUGCCCGUCGACUGGACUAUGGUGCUCUUUUGGUCUACGUUCGAAUUAUAUUAAUUUAUAUGUCUGUAUUAUGUCGAUUUCUAUGUCGUUUGUUGAAUGUCCUUUUGUAGGGUUCCGGAUAUGAGGUACAUGAUUAUGAGGAGAGUAUCCUGUGAUACCGGAGCUUAGGUGCUCCCAUGAUACGGGCUUUUGGGCCAUCGGAUCUCAGAUCCAACGGCGUAUGAGAAGUUGUUGUACUUGUGCGCAUUUUUCAGAUUCAAUGAGGGCUUUUUUGCAAAAAUGUUCACCAUCUUACAGGAGCUGUUGGAUUUGAGAUCCAACGGCUGACCCGGAGCACCAGAUAUUUUCCCCAAGAUUAUGGACACAACAAUUUGAGGAUUGACCGGUCACUAGGCAUGUCCGCGGAUGUAUAGGAUGCUAGAUUUGGUAUGAGUGGUUGUAGAUGCUCUUAAGAAGCGGUCAUGCGGACCAAAACGAAAGUGGAGUAUUUUCUCCUGACUUCAUAUGUACCCUCAUGAAUAGUAAAAUAUAAAAAUAGUAAACAAUAUUCUAAAAUUUUGUGGGUAAACUUUGACCAAUGUUUUGUGUGCUCGAAAAAAUUAUCAUAAAAGGACAUCUAUGAAAGCCGUGACAAAAAGAAACAGAAUCGAUGCUCUAAAAUGCUACUUUGAAAGCACUUUAGGGUGCUGAAUUUUUUUGCCAGGACUUACCUGAAUGUACAUAAUGAAAAUUUUCAAGCAUACAAAACAUUUUAAAAUGGUCAUUUGUAAACACAUGUUAAUGUUCAUUUUUAUUUUUUGGGUGGAAAAGGUUAGCACCCUUUUAUUUUAACAAAGUCAUCUGUAUGUAUUUUAGCAAAGUCACAUGCACAGAUAUACACAACUACCCACUCUCAUCCACGGGUAUACACAACUACCCACUCUAAAUAGUAGUACAACCACGAAUCAAUUUGGAAUUAUCUCUACUCUUAAUAAAGCAGUUGGUGAAUAGUCUCCACGGUUUAUUUUUAUUGGUUUUUUUUUCGUGUCUCCUCCCACCCCCCUCCCACCCUGAUCCAUCGGUUUAUUUCUCUCUCCACUCUUUAUUACAAGCAAAACUUUCCUAACGAAUAACAAAUCACGGAUCUAACUUUCUUAAAUUAUGCAAAUCAAUCGAUUCCAUUUAUUGGUUCAAUUUGUCUUAGGAAACAAAUAACAGAUUUUCAAGAAAAAAUUAUAUAUUUUAAUCUAACUUUCCUAACUUAUCUAAAUCAAUCUAUUUCUCUCAUUAGUGAAAUUUGUUUUAGAAAACAAAUAACAGACACGUCACAAACUUUCCUCCCAAUAAAUAGUUUCUUAACAUUUGCAAACUUUCCUAAUCAGACACGUCACAAACGGGCAGGUACUGAUAUCACGUUACCAAACAAUAAAACCCCAUUUGCAUAGAAAUCGGUUCAAAAUUCUAACUUUCCUAAAAUUUUACCUUUCCUUGAUAACAACCAAUAUUUCUUAUGUUUUCCACCUAUAGAAGGAAAUCACCCCUCCAUCGAUAUUAGCAUUUUUUUGGAAUGAGAUCUUCAGGUUAUGAUUUUUUUUUGCGAUUAUUUUCGAUGGUGACCUCUCCUUCCGCUCCGGCUCCUUCUCGCAUAAACACCUCCACCACAGCCAGCUGACGCCACCCCAGACCUCCUGCCUCUCCACACCUUCUCCACCACCUCCUCCUUGUACUCCAUUGACAAUCCCUCUGCCAUGUUUGUCCACGGCGGUGUUGAGGACAUGGCGCAGCAGCGUACUAGCGGUAGAGCAUCGCAUAGCAGUAGGAAGCAACACGCAGCAGGCGAGGCAAGCGACCUGCGUGGCUGAGAGGGCGGCCGGCAGAAGAUGGCCGUGACAGGAGGGGGCGUGAGGCAGGGGCGUGACUACGGGGCGAGCGAAGGGAUAGGCGGCAGCAGACGGGGUGAGCGCAGCUAGCGAGAGUGUGGUGCGUGGCCAGGGUGUGCGUCGCGCGGGUCACAGUGGUGCGGUGGCUGCGGCGAGCGCGACGACAGUGGCGGGCGCGAUCGACGCGGUGUGGCACAGGCGUCCAUAUAUACUUUAAGGGUGUUGAGGUCAUUAUAGGAGUAUUUAGAUUGAUCAAGUUUCUAUCUGCUCUUUCUUCCUGUAUGGAUUUUUCAAAAUUGUCGAUGAGUAUUUAAAUGAUGAAGUUUCUAUUUGGUAUCACUUCCUGUGAGGAUAUCCCAAAAUUACCAGAUCCAAUAUUAUUUUAGCAUGGCCUUUGGUAGUUCAUGUGCAUGUAUUUUAGUCUCAUAUUUUCUUCAAAUUUAUACUGAAAUGAUGUUUCAAUCAAGGUGAGGGAGUCCUGGAUUAGGGGGUGUCCGGAUGGCCGGACUAUACCUUCAGCCGGACUCCUGUACUAUGAAGAUACAAGAUUGAAGACUUCGUCCCGUGUCCGGAAGGGACUUUCCUUGGCGUGGAAGGCAAGCUUGGCGAUACGGAUAUGCAGAUCUCCUACCAUUGUCACUGACUUUGUGUAACCCUAACCCUCUCCGGUGUCUAUAUAAACCGAAGGGUUUUAGUCCGUAGGACAAGAUACACAACAACAAUCAUACCAUAUGCUAGCUUCUAGGGUUUAGCCUCUCUAAUCUCGUGGUAGAUCUACUCUUGUACUACCCAUAUCAUCAAUAUUAAUCAAGCAGGACGUAGGGUUUUACCUCCAUCGAGAGGGCCCGAACCUGGGUAAAACUCCGUGUCCCUUGCCUCCUGUUACCAUCCGGCCUAGACGCACAGUUCGAGACCCCCUACCCGAGAUCCGCCGGUUUUGACACCGACAUUGGUGCUUUCAUUGAGAGUUCCUCUGUGUCGUCGCUGACAGGCUCGAUGGCUCCUACGAUCAUCAAUAGCGAUGCAGUCCAGGGUGAGACCUUCCUUCCCGGACAGAUCUUCGUCUUCGGCGGCUUCGCACUGCGGGCCAAUUCGCUUGGCCAUCUGGAGCAUAUCGAAAGCUACGCCCCUGGCCGCCAGGUCAGAUUUGGAAGUUUAAACUACAAGGCUGACAUCCGCGGGGACUUGAUCUUCGACGGAUUCGAGCCACUGCCGAGCGCGACACACUGUCACGACGAGCAUGAUCUAGCUCUGCCGCCGAACAGUGCCCUGGAGGCCGCACCCGCAUCGGCUUCAACCCUUAAUUCGGAGCCUACUGCGCCGAUCGAGGAUGGGUGGUUGGACGCCGCCUCGGGGGCUGCGAUCCCAACGGCGAUCGAGCCAAACACCAGCCCCAUACUCCGCGAGACUCGUGACUCCAGGGAGCCGGACUCCUCUCUGGACUCCGAACCCUCCGCGCCCCUGCCGAUCGAAUCCGAUUGGGCGCCGAUCAUGGAGUUUACUGUCGCGGAUAUCUUUCAGCACUCGCCUUUCGGCGAUAUUCUGAAGGCACUAAAGUCUCUCUCUCUAUCAGGAGAGCCUUGGCCGAGCUACCGUCAGCAAGGUUGGGAUGCGGACAAUGGAGAAAUUCAAAGCCCACCCACCACCUACCUUAUAGCCACUGUCGAUGAUUUAACCGAUAUGCUCGACUUCGAUUCCGAAGAUACCGACGGUAUGGACGCCGACACAGGAGACGAUGAAGAACUAGCGCCUAUUGAGCCCUGGAAAGCCACCUCGUCAUAUGACGUAUACAUGGUAGACGCACCAAAAGAUGACGACGAGGAGCAGAAGAACGCACCAAAGGCUUGUUCCCUCGAGAAGCAGUCAAAGCGGCGACGCAAGCGCCGCCCCAAAUCCCGCCUCGACAGAAAUAACGAUCACACAGACCCAGCGCUGGAGCAUGGCGAACCGCUGCCGGACAAUGGCAAUCCGGAUAAUCAAACCGAACAAACAAAUUCUAUCAAGGAUAAUAGUCCGGACGAUAUAACGCCGGACAGGCACCCGGAGCAGCAGAAUGCCCGUAAGAGGCUUGUUGCCACCGCGAGGAGUCUCAAAAAGCAUAAGCAAAGGCUCAGGGCUGCGCAAGACACACUCCAAAUCAGAUGGAGUAAAAUACUCAACACAGCAACGAGGUACGGCGACAAUCGCCCCUCCAAGAGCUACCCAAAGCAGAAGCUGCUACCCGAAUUUGAUGAGGAGGCCUCAUACCCUCCACAACCAAACAUCAAAGCAGCCACCUGGCCAGAUAGACGACCCCUCUACCAACACACGGUGGCAUACAACGCCACUCACAAUACAACACGCGACCCAGGCGAGGGCUCGCACCCAAAGGACGGCGCAACAAGAUCCAUCUAUGGACCACGCAAGCGCGCCCCAGCAUACAAUGCAAUACAACAAAGAUCCGAACAACGCGGCACACCCAGCUACAGAGGUGCCGCACACCCCCUGUGUUUCACCGAUGAGGUGCUGGACCAUGAAUUCCCAAAAGGAUUCAAACCCGUAAACAUAGAGGCAUACGACGGAACAACAGACCCUGGGGUCUGGAUUGAGGACUACAUCCUCCAUAUCCAUAUGGCUCGAGGAGAUGAUCUCCACGCCAUCAAGUACUUACCCCUCAAGCUUAAAGGGCCAGCUCGUCACUGGCUUAAAGGCCUCCCCGAAAGCACCAUUGGAAGUUGGGAAGAGCUCGAAGACGCCUUUCGGGCAAAUUUUCAAGGGACUUAUGUCCGACCUCCGGAUGCGGACGAUUUGAGUCAUAUAACUCAACAGCCCGGAGAGUCAGCCCGAAAGCUUUGGUACAGGUUUCUUACUAAAAAAACCAGAUUGUCGACUGUCUGGAUGCUGAAGCCUUGGCAGCUUUUAAGCAUAGCGUCCAUGACGAAUGGCUCGCCAGACACCUCGGCCAAAAUAAGCCGAGAACGAUGGCCGCAUUAACAAACCUCAUGACCCGCUUUUGCGCGGGUGAGGACAGCUGGCUAGCCAGAUGCAGCACCAGCGACCCCAGUACAUCUGAAGUUAGAGAUGGAAACGGGAAAUCACGGCGCAACAGCAAUAACAAACGCCGGAAUAAAGAAGACAUCACGAAGGGCACGGCAGUAAACGCCGGAUUCAAAAGCUCUCGGCCAGGUCAGCAAAAGCCGCCCUCUAAAGGCACCAGGGAUGAACUGUCCAGCCUCAACAAAAUUUUGGACCAAGUAUGUCAGAUCCAUAGUACCCCUGGUAAACCUGCUAAUCAUACCCACAGAGAUUGUUGGGUCUUCAAGCAGUCCGGCAAGCUCAACGCCGUACACAAGGGGGAGGAUACACCAAGUGAAGACGAGGACGAGCCUCCCAAGCAAGACACUGGGGAACAAAAGAAAUUUCUGCCAGAAGUCAAAACAGUAAACGUGUUACACGUGAUCAAGGGACACAAUGCGGCACUCCCAGGGAAAUAUACCCAAGUGCCUGUCACCACUAAGUCCUGCCACUGGUCGUCUCAACCGAUCACUUUCGACCAUCGCGAUUACUCAGCAAGUAUCCGGCGUGCAGGAUGGGCUCCCCUGGUAUUAGACCCAGUAAUUGGCGGAUAUCACUUCACACGAGUAUUGAUGGACAGUGGCAGCAAUCUAAACCUAAUAUAUCAGGAUACAAUCCGCGGGAUGGGGUUAGACCCAACAAAAAUUCGCCAUAGCAAUACUACCUUUAAAGGAGUAACGCCACGCCCAGGGGCUCGCUGUACGGGCUCCCUACUACUACAAGUUAUAUUCGGCUCCCCCGAUAACUUCCGUCGUGAGCAUCUAACCUUCCAUAUCGCUCCGUUCCGAAGUGGCUAUCAAGCACUGCUCGGAUGCGAAGCUUUCGCUCGCUUUAAUGCAAUACCACACUAAGCCCCCCUCACACUCAAGAUGCCCGGUCCACGUGGCAUCAUUUCAGUGAACGGAAAUAUCAAGCGAUCUCUGCGCGCCGAAGAGAGUGCGGCUGCCUUGGCAGCCGCACACGAAAGGCGCCCGAACCACCGAAAGCAUCCAAUAGGUCGUCAAGACCUCAGACACAACUAACCAAGUCCGGCACCGCUAUUUAUACCGAAUAAACGGUCACACCCCUAUUUGUCAAUGCAAGGGACUCAACGCGCACAGACAAGUGGCAAUCUUUUCUUAUCUUGAAUUAUACAUGGUUUCUUUAAAAACUACCUUUUUGCACGACAACUUUUUCACCUAAAUUCCUCUCUUUUACAGAUGAUCAUCGUGCUACACCCGUCCAGGACAUGGCACAAUGGAGACACAGGCGCAGACGUGCAGCAGGGACCCGCUCCAAGGAUUCUUUUUAGAUUAAGACCCCGCGUAAACCUUUUUUACUGUCUCUUGUUGAUACAUAUCCAUCGUUGAGAAGGAUGCUGACGUCUUGGCAUGUGGCCACGCCAGAACAAUGCACGUACCUGGACACAAGGGGCUUCUUACAAAGGCCAUUAUUCAGGCCCGGUUUAUACCACAAAGACCGAAUACCUUAGGGAGUGUUCGGCGUCACGAGUUUGGCCCUAUAUGCAUCAGCUCCGAAUCAUUGUCUUUGGUCAAAUGUUGGGUUUGCCCAGCUCCUGUGUUUUGGUGCCUUACAUUCCGCUUUACCGGCUAAGGUAGCACCAGGAGAACUACUGUGAUUGUGCCCUGGUUCAUCCGGACGAGCACCUCAGUAGAGAAAGCCGAAAACUGACUGUCAUGAUAUAGCGUGAGACUGGUCAACCACUCAAUGACCUGUUGAAAUGUUAGAAUUCCUCCGCCUUAACGAAGGGCCGUUUUUCGGCCAGGCAUGUACGCACCCCGGGAUCGGAAGAGUGUGGAGCCACCAGGGGCUAUCUAGUAGCCCCACUGUGAAACUCCUAUGGCUAAGUGAAAGUGCUAAAGCAUUAUAGUCCGGUUGCCUCGCUCGCUCCGCUAUCACCUCCUUAAUAGGACCAAGACGUUGGGUUAAGUGUGAACGCGUGUUUUUGCGAGCACCUCCGCAUUAUAUGCGUGGGGGUUAAAGCCGACGGCUGCAAUCUUUCAGGUUAUACACAUGUAUACAUAAACGGGCGCCUAGGAGGCAUCAUAUUACUUUCAGGCAAAAGUAUAAAAAUAGCCUUAUAAAACUUUAUAAAAGCAUUUCGCUUACAAUGAGAUUGCAUAUCACUCAAACAUAAUAUUUUUUGAGCACCGGGUCUCUAUCAAACGAGCACCCUCAAAAACUUCUUCAAAGUAGUGCUCAGCAGCCAUUCGGCCUAUCGCCGAAUCCCGCGCUGCAACAGUGGUGGCAUCCAUCUCCGCCCAGCAUGCUUUAACACGGGCAAAGGCCAUCCAUGAGCCCUCUAUGCACGCCGACUUCUUCGUCGCAUUGAUGCGCGGCACCAUGUCAAGGAACUGCUGCACCAAGCUGAAAUAGCUGUUCGGUUUUGGCCUUUCCGGCCAUAGCUGAUCCACAACAGACCUCAUGGCGCGUCCGGACAACCUAUUCAGCUCGGCCCAUUCGGCUAAUUGGUCAGUCAAUGAAAGUGGACGCUCGGGAGAAUGGAAUUGUGUCCAAAACAGCUGGUCCACUUCAUGGUCCGUUUGACCCUGGAAGUACUUGACCGCAUCGGCAGCGCUCGCCGCCAAAUCCAUAUACACAUCCUCCGAACUCCACAGCCGAUCCAGAGGGGCAUACCGUGGAUCUCCGAACUUCCUCCGCAACAUAAAGGAUUUCCCAGCUACAAUAUCCCUGGCUUCCCGCAGCUCCUCCUUCUUUGCCCUCAUAGCAGAGCGGAGGUCUUUUCUCAUCACAGCAGCCUUCUCAAGGUCCGAUGCCUUCGCCUGGUUUUCCUUUUCAAGAACCCGGCAACGGUCGGCGGUGGCUUUUAAUUCUAUGGCCAUCUUGGCCAGCUUAUCUCGGCUCUCGCCAUGCGCGGCCUUCUCGGCUUGCAACUCUUCGGCCGCCUUCAAAGCAGCCGCAUUACCCAACCUCGCUUGUUCCUUGGCUCGGGCAAGUUCUGCCCGCAAGGCUUCAACAGUGGCAGCUCCAUCUGUAGUCACAACAUAUUAAAGAUACUGGCAUCAUGCUGCUCUUCCUAUGUGACGUUUACCAGAUAAUGACACUUACCAUGUGCCUCGUCAAGCCUUUUGUUAACAAGCUCGAUGUCGUCGUCUGCCGCAUCUAACUGCCGUUUCAAAUAGGCAAACUCGCUAGUCCGGCUAGCCACCGGAGCUUCCAUCACCUGCACAUAGAGGCAGUAUGAUUAUUACCUGGGAAUAUGAUCCUCUGUUCGUCGUCGUUUCCGACAACCACCAGUCUCAGGGGCUACUAUCUACACAGGCCACACCUAGCAUGUGCAGGACAAUUAUACAUUAUUUUACGUACCUCAAAGCCUCUCAGUAGACUCAUAAAAUCUUUAUGCAAUCCGCUUUCGGCGGACAAGAUUCUCUCCAUCAUCGUAUUCAUCAGCAUACUGUGUUCAUCUGAGAUGGCCGCUCGCCCCACCAACUCCCUCAGAACAUCCGAUCGCGCACCAGACGGUGCCGGACUCUUUUGUCUGUUCUCUUCGGGAGCCGGACACUGGGAGCUUCGGGGUUCAAUGGGAUUAUCUUCUGGCCUCAUCGAAUCCGGAGAAGCCCUCCGCGACGACACUUCGGGGUCACCCGCUUCUGAAGCGGAGGAGUCCGUAGGAGGCGUUUCGCUCUCCAUCAUCUCUGGAAGAAGAUCCCCCAAAGACGAACUCAUUUGAGAGGGGCUAAGGCCCGAACUGCAAAGAUAUAUGCGGUGGUUAUUUUCUCAGAAGAAAAAGAUGGCAUACCUGUACUAUUAAAGUAUUUCGGGUCACUUACGACUCGCUGGAGGAAUGAUCCCCCCGCGGACUUGGUGCGGCGAAAGCACCCCCCGAGGUAGGACCCUCUGUGGGAGACUUCUACUCCCGUUUGGAAGCUUCGGCUUCCGAAUCCCCGGGCACAGUCCUUUUCCUCCUCCGGUCAUCUUCCUUCAUGGAGACACUCGCUCCCUCGGUUAGAAUGGGCAGCGUUGGGGGCCCGCGUCCGCCCGUAUUACCCUCCCCGGUAUCUUCCUUCAAGGGCUCCGGGCAGGGUGCGACCUGGAGCAUCUUUUCCAGUACCGGAUUUUCCAAACCCUCAGGGAGGGGGGCCGGACACCGAAUCAACUUCGCCUUUGUUAGCCAGUCCUGGUCAAAAAGCGAACUCUUAGAGAUAACUUCGUAACAAAUAAGAGAUAGUAUGUUCGCCCGGAAGAUUCCUUACCUGUUCGGCGGCGCGGUUACUGCUCAGGCCCACGUCCUCGGUGAUUUCCGGACACUCUACCUGAGGUUCGAAGAAUGACUUGUACAUCUCCUCGUGCGUCAGGCCGAGGAAAUUUUGAAUGACACGUAGUCCUUCGGGAUUGAACUCCCACAAGCGAAGGGGCCGGCGUUUGCAAGGCUGGACUUGACGGACCAGCAUAACUUGUCUUACCGCAACCAAACUGAAAUCUCCAUUAAAGAGAUCUCGAAUGCGGCUUUGCAGUAUAGGCACGUCCUUGGCUAGACCCCAGCUCAGUCCUCUGCUAAUCCAUGACAUCAGUUGUGGUGGAGGGCCCGAGCGGAAAACGGGGGCGGCCGCCCACUUGGCACUUCUAGGGCCGUGAUGUAGAACCACUCCUGUUGCCACAAUUCAGACACCUCUGGAAUGGAACCUUUGGGCCAUGAAUCUCGCGUCAUCUUGCGUAUUGAGGUACCUCCACACGCCGCAUGUUGCCCCUCGAUCAUCUUCGGCUUUACUUCAAAGGUCUUGAGCCAUAGGCCAAAGUGAGGGGUAACCCGGAGGAAGGUCUCGCGCACGACAAUAAAUGUCGUGAUAUGAAGAAAGGAGUCCGGAGCUAGCUCAUGGAAAUCUAGCCCGUAAUAAAACAUCAAGCCCCUGACGAAAGGAUCCAGAGCAAGGCCUAGACCUCGGAGGAAGUGGGAGACGAACACGACGCUCUCGUUGGGUUCGGGGGAGGGGACGGCCUGCCCCCGGGGAGGCAGCUGAUGCAAAAUCUUGGCGGUCAGAUAUCUGGCCUCCCUCAACUUUUUGAUGUCUUCUUCCGUGAUGGAGGAAGGCACCCAUCGGCCUUGAAGGCUAGAUCUGGACAUGACUGAAGGUUCGGAGCACCUGACUGAACUUUAGGCGUUUGAGCUUGAGGUGGGGAAGGAUUCGAUUGAGCACGGGAGGGAAGAAUAAAAGCCUUGUCCCUUUAUAAAGAGGGUGAAUAUCAAGCGUCCUCUCCGUGUCCGUUUGGACUUGCCUAUAAUCUAGGAGUCCUAGAAGUGGUUGGGUUACCCACGCCCGUAGUGAUGAGAAUCCCGGAAUAAGGGGACACGAUCUCUGCUUUAACGAGACGUGCCAAGGAAACCGUCUCGCAUGACACGCUGAGGUGGGAUAAUAAAACGAUCCGGAUAAAGGCUUGGUUGUGGUGUGUCGCAGUACGUAAUACGUCAGCAGAUUAGAUUUGUGUAAAUAUUAUUGUCUCUAUGGCAAUAUGUGGAAACUUAUUUUGCAGAGCCGGACACUAUCUUUGUGUUCAAAAUCUUCUAUGAAGUACUUGGAGGAGGAACCCGCCUUGCAAUACCGAAGACAAUCUGCGCGCCGGACUCGUCGUCAUUGAAGCCUGGUUCAGGGGCUACUGAGGGAGUCCUGGAUUAGGGGGUGUCCGGAUGGCCGGACUAUACCUUCAGCCGGACUCCUGGACUAUAAAGAUACAAGAUUGAAGAUUUCGUCCCGUGUCCGGAAGGGACUUUCCUUGGCGUGGAAGGCAAGCUUGGCGAUACGGAUAUGCAGAUCUCCUACCAUUGUAACCGACUUUGUGUAACCCUAACCCUCUCCGGUGUCUAUAUAAACCGAAGGGUUUUAGUCCAUAGGACAAGAUACACAACAACAAUCAUACCAUAGGCUAGCUUCUAGGAUUUAGCCUCUCUGAUCUCGUGGUAGAUCUACUCUUGUACUACCCAUAUCAUCAAUAUUAAUCAAGCAGGACGUAGGGUUUUACCUCCAUCGAGAGGGCCCAAACCUGGGUAAAACUUCAUGUCCCUUGCCUCCUGUUACCAUCUAGCCUAGAACAGUUCGGGACCCCCUACCUGAGAUCCGCCGGUUUUGACACCGACACAAGGUUGUUCCAUAUUGAGCUACCUUGCGAAAAAUAUGCAUAAUAAUUGUCUGUGUUUCUGAUGAGUUGGAGCAGAUGCAAGGUUGUACAUGUACCGAAUAAAUCAUGAUGCAGGACCGCUUGUGAUUAUUUUUAGGACACAUAGUGUUGGCGUGGGGACCUUUUCAUAUGUUCUAUAGUAAGAAUUUUUCAUCUUAUGCUUUGUACUAAGUUGGUUUUAUAACUUGUGUGCUUAUUUCACUAAUGCAUGCAGGAGUGUCAAACAGUGAUGAUGUGUUCUGUAUACGAUUUUGUUUGCUCUAAUUCUUUAUAUUCUCACGAGUAGAUCAAGUGUAAGUAUGUGCAAUGUAGUUCCUUUUUCUACAUAUGGUGAUUGAUUUCUUCUUCGGCAACCCAACAAACAGAUGGUAAUCAAUCUUCAAAUACCAAAAUCAGGCACUUGAUAUGUAUAAAAAUAUUAAAUGUAAUAUUAACAUAAUUGAUAUUGAACUCUUAAAAUUAAUGUAGCCCCGUUGCAAUGCACGGGCGUUCUUCUAGUAUGGUUAGAAGGACAGUGAUAUUCCCUAUUCAUCAAAGUUCACAUUAGAGUUCAAGUCCAUAUUGGUGUUCAUAUUUUUUGGGUUUAUUUAACCUGAGGUUGGAUGACAGUGGUACCGCAUAUCCAUCAGAAUUCAAGUCCAUAUUUCAAGUCUAUAUUGGUGUUUGUACUUUUAUGAAUUUAUUUAAUUCGAGGUUGGAUGAUUUGAAGGAUAAGAAGGAUAAUGAUAUCUGUCCAUUAGAGUUCAAGUCCACAUUAAUGGUCACACUUUUGUGGAUUUAUUUCAUGCCAGAGUUCAAGUCCACAUUGAUGGUCACACUUUUGUGGAUUUAUUUCAUGGCUUUCAGUGAUGUUCAAUGGGAGGAGUGUUGACUACAAAGUUCAAAUCCAUAUGGGUGUUUUGUAUUUUUCUGAACUUAUUUAAUUUAAGAUUAAAUGAUUAGGAGGACAGUGGUAUCUCUGAUUUAAAUCCAUGUUCAUGGUCGCAUUUUUUUAAAUUUAUUUCAUGUCUUCCAAUAAUGUUCAACGAGAGAAGAUGCUACUGUUGACUACAAAAGCGUUUAUGACUAGUCAUAGAGAUAGAAUAUGUGUGCUUACACUGUGUAUGUAAACGACUAGUCAUAAAGAUAGAAUAUGCGUGCUUAUACAAUAUAAGUUACACACACGCUCGUGUAUGUAAACGACUUCGAUUAUACUGUGUAAAGAAAUACAAUGCUGUGUAAAAAAAGCAACAGUACAACGUUUUUCCUUUUCGUGGGAAAAUCGACAGACAAUAGCACAAUUCCGGUAGUACUGCAUACUCGUAAGUUCAUUCUUAUUGGCACUAAAAAUGCUCAUUCUUACUUACCGAAAACAAAGAUAUUCCAAUCACUUCAGUUCUCCAAAGUGAAAAAACAGGGGUUCCACCCGGCGAUUUACUCAACCGGGGAACAUUAAGCGAACACCUCCAUUUUACCAAUCACACUGCUUUUUCUCGAUUCGUUGUGCUCAC